UAGAGCAUCUGACAGUGGGUAAAAAUGAAUUAAAGAUGAUUGUCAAUGGAGAAUUUCAGAGAAACCUUUUACACAAGUUAAAAGUUCUUACUUUGUGCUUUGAUAUUGAGUGUGAUGAAUAUCCGGAGUAUGGAUUUCUACAACAGUUGCCAAAUGUAAUGAAGCUUGUGGUGUGUGACAGUUCCUUCAAAGUCAUUUUCUGCGAUCAAAGACCUAAUAAUAGUGAAAUUCUUUUACAAUUGAAAGAAUUACGGUUGGAGUCCCUUCAAGAGUUGGUUUCCAUUGGCUUAGAAAACUCAUGGACUGAACCCUUUGUCAGAAAUCUUGAAACCUUUGAAGUCAUUAGCUGUUCCAAUUUAAAAAACUUGGUUCCAUGCAGAGUGUCUUUCUCGAAUCUGAUAUGUUUAAAAGUUGAAAAUUGCGAUAGCUUGUCAUAUUUAUUCACAUCUUCAACAGCCAAAAGUUUGGUUAAACUCCAAAGAAUGGAGAUAAAAAGGUGUGAAUCAAUUGAAGAAAUAGUGUCUAAAGAAGGGGAGGAAUCAGAUGAAGAUGAAAUAACAUUUCUGGAGCUCAAUUGUUUGAAACUUAAAUAUCUGAAAAAUCUCCGAAGGUUUUACAAAGGGAGUUUAAGUUUUCCAUUGUUAGAGGAAUUGUCAAUAAGAUGGUUCGACGAGAUGGUAAGUUUAUGUGGAGGGACUCUGGAGGCAAGUAUGUUGUCUGAAGUAAAACUUGAUUGGUCAACCACUACAUUGGAAACUGGUCUCAACUCUACUAUGAAGAAGGAAUUUCUGAAAAAGGUACGUCGUUAAUAUAUAUAUAUAUAUAUAUAUUUUUUAUUGAACAUUGUUAGGAUUAUUGUGUAUAUAAAAAAUACAGCCUCUUAUAGGCCAUUGAUUAUAUAUCUAUAGCCCAUGUUAAAAUAUACAAGACGGUUUAGGACAACAUGUUUGAAAAUUAUUAUCAUUUGUUCCUAUAACUUUUGAUUAUUACAUCCUCUGGUGGAUGUAAAUAUGAUUAUUACACUUUUUUUCCUAUAACUUCUAGUUAACACUAUGUCUAUAAUUUAAACUCAGAAAGUACUAUACUAAAAUAUUUCAAAAUAAACAAAAGAGUUCGUUAUAUAUAUAUAUAUAUAUAUAUAUAUAUAUAUAUAUAUAUAUAUAUAAUAUUUUUCAUUAAAAAUAUUAAAUGUGAAGAAGGAAAAAAAACAUUGUUUAAAAUAAUUAUAAAUUUUAUUAUUCAUAAAAGCAAUUUUUAUUUAUUUAUUUACACGUCUCAAAUAUAGCGUAAGGGUACAACAAAUUUUUAACUUUUAUGAUAACUAAAUAAAAUUAUAAAUAUCAAUUCUUAACUUGGUUUUGCAAGUCUUGGAGUCAAGAAAUGUGAAUUAGAAAACGUGAUUCAGUAGAAAAUUUCUUUUAAAUAUAGUUAAGUGAAUUUCUUUUCGUAAUAAAAAAUAAUUAAUAAUAAAAAUAGUGAGUAUUUCAAAUUUGUGUAGUACUAAUUUAAAAGAUAUCAUUAACUCUGGUAAAUAAUUAGUUUCAUAUUUUUAUUUAUUGUUUUGCACUUUCAGAUUUCAGAGCUUGACGAACUUGAUCUGGAAAGUGGGCCAAGACUACAAGAGAUAUGGAAUGGCUCACUGCAUAUCCCCGACCUCUGUUUCAGUGAGUUGGCCAAAUUGACUGUGAAUGACUGCCAGUUUUUGUCAGAUGCAGUGCUACCCUUCCAUUUACUUCCUUUAUUACCCAAAUUGGAGAUAUUGGAAGUUCGAAACUGCAACUAUGUCACAGUCAUUUUCGAUGUCAAUCCUUCAACACGAUACCCUUUAAUUACUCUUCCUCUGAAGAAAUUGGUUUUAUCGAAUCUUCCAAAUGUGGAGAAUGUUUGGAAUGAAGAUCCUCGUGGAAUUCUAAGCAUGCAACAUCUACAACAAGUGUUCGUUGAUAAAUGCAAAUGCCUUAAAACCGUGUUUCCAGCAUCAGUAGCCAGAGACCUUGUAAAACUUGAAGAUCUAGUACUGGAAGACUGUGAGGGAUUGAUGGCAAUUGUUGCAGAUGAAUCUGAUGAGAAGGAAGAAAUUAUAUUUGAGCGGCUUCAGGUUUUGGAUCUUAAAAGAUUAAAAGAACUAACGUGCUUUUACGAUGGCAACUUUACUUUAAGUUUUCCAUCCUUGAAGGAAGUCCAUGUCAUCGAGUGCAGCUCCAUGAAAACUUUCAGUGCAUUCAACAAAAUAGAUAAUCCGACAAGAUGGUAUUAUUCAGAACAUGCGAGACCCCGAAAGGAAACUGAUCUUAAUUCUGCUCUGCACAAAACUUGUGAAGAAGAGGUAUGCAUACUUUUACGUCUUAAUCUUUGUUCCUGCUAAUUUCUUAAAAGUAACUUUUGUAUAUGGUCUUAUGUUUUAAAUAGGCUCCAGAUGCUUCGAGUACAUCAAAUACUUGAGAUAGUGAAGAUAGCGGAUAAGGUACAUCAAAUAUUAACUAAUGCCACUGCAAUUGUUAAUCUUUUCUAGGGUGAGUUUUACUGUCAUCUUCUCUAUGCGCAUGCAGGUGAUGAUUAGUGAGCAAGCACUUUUUCACAACAUAACAUCAUGAUUACGUCUUAUUAUGUAAGUAACUUUUUAUUAGUUUCAUUUUACGUUUUAUUGAUAUCUAUUUAAGUGAAUAUUUCUUUGUCAUGUUAAUAGCUUGAAAUUCACUUAAUGUUACUUAUACUUCUUUAAUUAAAUUCAUAACUUUCUAUAGUAAUUCCUUUUAUAAUUCGUCGUCUAGGUUGAGUCUCUGUUGCCGACUCCAAUAUUGCAGUAAUUAAGAGGAGAUUAAAGGCGUGAAGAAUGGAUGAAGAUGAAUCUGUCUCGAUUUUAUUACGUGUGGUUGUGUUUUAAAGAAAAUGAAAAAAACGAAAAAAAAAAGUGUUAUUCUACCUAGUUGAAGAUGAAUGUGUUCCUAAUUUAUUAUGUAUGAUAGUGUUUCUUUUUCAAAAAAAAAAAAAAACUGUGUUGUUCUGUCUAGUUGAAGAUGAAAUACAUUAUUAUUUGUACUAUGUAAUGUGUGAGAUUAAAAGUGAUUGAAAGUCAUGAGUAUUGAUUAAAGACGAAGUGAUGAACUGUGUCACUAAAUAUUGACUGUAUUUGCAUAUGUGGUUAUGCUGGUUUAAAAAAACAAAUGUAUGUUUGUAUUCAUUUUCUGUUAAUUUUAUCUUUGUUAGGAAAUUAUGCACAAUUCCUCUUAAUCAGAUUUGUGAGAAAAAUAUAAAUGCAGAAUAAUGACACUCAAAAUAAAACUCUUUAGAUUUCACUGCAAAUGUAUUAAUGAUAAAAAAUAAAAUUACAAUAUCACUUUUUUUCUCUUUAUUUCUACUCUGGUUUUCUCUUUUUCUUCUCUACAUUUUUUAUUAUGUAUUCUUUCUCUUAUUUGGAUAAAAUCUCUUUUGACCAAUUUUAACAAUCUCCCACUUGAAGACUAAUUUUAAUUUGUCUUCAUAUCUUGAUCAUUAUACCACCAAUCUUCUGUAGUCUAUUAUUGUAGCAAGCCAACUGAAGUUGAACACAAUUUCAGUUUGUCAAUGGUUACCACUUUUGUUAACAUGUCUGCUGGAUUUUUACUUCCGAAAAUCUUUCUCAAUGUUAGCACCCCAUCUUCAAGCAAAGAUCUAAUGAAGUGAUAACGAACAUCAAUAUGUUCGUUAUCACUUCAAGCAAAAUUUUCAUUAUAAUUACUUAAUAGAUUUUAUAUAUUAAAAUUUAUGUUUUUAAAAUAAAAGUAACACAGUGGCACGGUAAUUAGUUAUUUAUUUUAAAUUUAAAAUAAUUUAAUUUUUUUAAACAUAAUUGUAAUAUAGCACUUAUAAUAAGUUUACUUACAUAUAUUUUCAUUGUUAUCACUAUGAGUAAUUUUAAAUUAAUAAACUUAUUUUUGGAUAUAUAAAUAUUUAAUAAAUUUAUAAUAUUAUAUUAUACUUGUCUAAAAAUAUAAAAAAUAGUAUUAUUAUUUAUUUUAUUUUUUUUGUUGAUAGUUUUGUUAGAGUAAUGUGUAUAUUAAAUUUAAUUAAUAUAAAAAGCUUAGUAAUUUGAUAAUUUUAAUUUAUACACCAUUUUUACUGUCAUUAGUACUAAUAAAUAUAUUAUAAAUAUAUUUUUAGUUAUUUUAAAGUUAUAAUUUUAAAAUAAAAAAUAUUAAUUAUUAAAGUGAGUGCUAUAGUAAAAGUUUUUAACUUGAAAUAUGUAAUUUGUUUUUCUUUAACUUUAUGGGGAUAAAAAAAAGUAAGAUUAUAUUUCAAAGGUAGAGAAGUAAUUUAAUAAUUUGUCUGAUUUACAGGUCAGUUUCGCAUACACUGAAUAUCUGUGGCUUGAUAACACUGAUCAUUUUAUUAUAAAGCAACUAUGGAAUAACACUCAUUGGGGGCAGCAAAAGAACUUUGGGUAUUUGAAAAGGUUGAGUGUAUGGUAUUGUGAUACUCUAAAGCAUAUAAUUCCAUCUCAUUUGCUUUCUUGCUUUCACAAUUUGGAAGAGUUAGAUGUAUACUAUUGCAGUAAUGCAGAGGUGAUAUUUAAUAUGAAUGAUGAGAACAGGGUGAUGACAAAACCUUCCGGAAUAUUCCGUCUGAAAACAUUGUAUUUAGAUAAUAUACCAAAACUGAAGCAUAUAUGGGACAAGGAUCCGAAGGGAAUUAUUGACCUUAAUGCGCUAGAGGUAAUGCGUGUUGAAAAUUGUAGGAGUCUUACAACUUUGUUUCCAGCGUCGGUGGCCAAAGAUCUUAACAGACUUGAGGUGUUUAAAGUAAUAAAGUGUGAUGAAUUGGAAGAGAUAUUUAGGAGUGGAGAAGAAGAAGGAUCAAUCCAAGAGUCUGUUUUUCAUCAACUCACCACAUUGACGCUACAACAAUUGCCACGCCUCAAAUAUUCUAUCCACCGCUCCAAACAACAGGCAAUUCUCACACUUUUUACUUUAUCUAUUCUUACUCUUAUUAUUUCUAUUUUAUAAAAUAUAAAUUUCUUCCUAUUAACAACAAAAAAUUUGCUCUCCAUGCUUUGUCAGUCGAGAAUGGUAAUCGGUGUUGUUUUCCAAGGAGACAUCCUUCGCACGAUUCAUUAUUUUCCUUCAAGAAUGGAAGAUCUCUCAUCAUGUUUUUCUGAUAUAGAAGCUUUAAGGCAUGUCUGUUGAAGUGGCCAAAUCUCCUAUGCCAAAGCCAUGAGCAUCAACUUCUACCUUCAUGGCAAUAUUAGUUCCAGGUUUGAAGCUUAUAGGAAAGCUUCUAUUUCUCUUCUCCAUUUUUACUUGGCCAAUUUCUAUCAUUUUACUAUCAUAAAUUUUGCAUGUAUCUUUCUCAAAAUGAAGAGAAUAUCCAUUNUCCAUCAUUUGGCCAAUACUUAAAAGAUUNUCUUUAAGAUUAGGAACUAGUAAAACAUCCUUGAUGAAUUUCGUACCUUUCUUUGUUUCCACCAUGACAGUUCCUUUGCCUCGAGACUCCACUGUUGUGCCAUUUCCUAGCCGAACUUUGACAUUGACAGAUUUAUCAAUGUCUUUGAAGAUGCUUUGAUCUUUCGCCAUGUGAUUGCUACAUCCACUAUCCAAGUACCAACUUCCUUCUCCACNAGGNGAUUCUUGAUUGGCGUAGAAUAAGAGUUUCUCCUGAUUAUCUUCUUCUGCAAAGUUUGCUUGAUGCUUAUUUUUAUUACGACAAUACUUUUCUAUGUGACCAAAUUUCUUGCAAUAGUGGCAUUGAGGUUUUCCAUGAUGCCAACAAUCCUUUUUCAAGUGAUUUGUCUUUUUACAGAUGCCACAUGGAGGAUAUAUUUUCCUUGAUGAGUCAUAGAGAAGCUUCUAGAAUUUUCUUUAUUUCUAGAAAUUUCUCCUUUACUUUUAUUUCUUUCACAUUCUUUCUGAGACUACAAUUUUAGUUUUGAUUGAAAGGCAUUUUCAACUGAGUCUUCUUCAUGCCUUUUCAAUCUUUGUUCAUAAGCUUCAAGAGAGCCCAUUAGUUGUGUUACUGACAAUGUAGUCAAAUCUUUUGUUUGUUCAAUCGCAGUUGCGAUUGCAUCAUAUUUUUGGGGAAUUGAAAUUAAAAUUUUCUCAACGAUCUUUUUGUCAAGAAUAUUUUCCCCAUAGGCUCUCAUCUGACUAACUAUUUCUUUUAUUCUAGAAUAGUAGUCUUUGAUGGUCCCAGAUGCUUUCAUUCUUAAUAAUUCAAACUCUCGUCUUAGAGAAUGAAGUUUAACAUUGCGUACCUCGUCACUUCUUUGAAACUCCUCUUGUAUUGUGUUCCAAGCUUGUUUUGCACUUGUGGCACCAAUUAUCUUUGGAAAAAUUGUGUCAUCAACUGCUUGUUGAAGAANAAAUAAAGCCCUUGAAUCCUUCUGUUUGUUUUCCUUCAACUCCUUCUUUUGAGCUGUAGUAAGAGUGGAGGUGUCUUCUGGAAUAAUGAAUCCUUCUUCUGUGAUGUCCCAUAUAUCUUGAGAGCGGAAGAAUGUCUUCAUUUUGACACUCCAGAAAUCAUAAUUUUCUCCUGUGAAAAUAGGUACUGGAAGUGAUGAUGUUUGAUUGGUAGUAGCCAUGAAUUGAGAAAAUAUUUUGGAGGCAGUACAAAAUGGGGUUAUAGUUUUGUUUAAGGUAGUUGAAAAUUUUAUCUACGCCUAGUAGAUGACCGAACGUAGCUCUGGUACCACUGUUAGUAUUUACAGGUUGUGAAAGGAGUAGUUGAUAAAGUAGAGAAAAUGUGGAGAUAGUGGGAUGUAGAAGUAGUAGUUGGAAGAAGUGUUGUAGUUGUCUUAGUUGUUAUAGAUGUUGGCUUCUUGUCUACAUACAUCAAAUUGUAGAGUUCAUGGGUAUUUAUAGACCCAUAGAAUAUUCUAGAACAUGCUAGUCACAACUUAUGUGGAAUGUUCUAGAUUUUUACCUAUGUAGAAUAUUCUUGAUUUUUCUUCCUAUCUUAGACUUUUCUACAAUAUUCUAGAACUUGUGUUACAUUUCUUUUCUUCUAUCCUAGGAGUUUCUACAUUAUUCUAGAAUUUGCAUUACACUUUAAUAGUACGAAAUACUGUGAAAAUUAAAAUAUGAAACUUUACUUAAAAAUCUUUUAUCUUCUUUUCCUAUUAAUCUUUUUUUUUCUUUAUAUCAUUGUUAUCAGAACAUGUAGGAUCGAAAGUAUGUUAAAAGUGUAACCAUUGUCGCAGAGUCUAUACAUCGAUUGGGAUGUUUCAGUAAUUGAAUAGUAACUUCUUAAUUGAAGUCUACAACGAAACAAGUUAAAAUGGCUAUUCAAAAUUAAAUUUGACAGAAGCUUAUUCGAAAACGUAAGUGCAAAAGAAGGUACUUAUUAUAUUAUUAUAUGAAAAAAAUUAAAUAUGAUGUACUAGAUUAGUUAUAAUUUGUAUAUUAUGUUCAUUAAAAAAUUAAAACAAUAAUAUUUUACUAAAAUUGGUCUCACUGUAAUUGAGUCAUUAUUAAACCUUAAACCUGGUUUUCACUAAUUUAAUGAAUUUGUCUAGUUCCAUAGCAUCAUUGAUUUAUUAUAUAAAUAAGUAAAAAAAUAUGUUGGUAUGGGAAAAUAGUGUAAGAAAACGGGGACAGAAGGGGUUAUCCUGAGCCCCGAACACAUAGCCAAAAACGCCUGAACUGAAUCCAUGCAUUCGGAUGAAGCUGCAUAGGAGUAGCAUUCAGCUCGCAUAGGACGACCGACUGGAACGCCAUAAAAGGUACCCGAACAAAGAGCUGGUUGAAAAGAUUGGUGUACGAUAGGGUAACCGGACAUAUUGGAGUGAUCGGUCACACCGGCAGUAUGAUCGGUCAUACCGGCAAUGUGAUCGAGUUCCCUAGUGCGGUAAAAGAGGGCGGCGUUAGCAAUGAAAGAGGUAGAACAGCUGCGAAGAUCGGUCGCGCCGACGGGAUGGUCGGGACAGCCGACAGUAUGAUCGGGGAAUGAGAAAGGAGUCUACCAUAGCAGAAGAAGUGAUGCAAUGCUGAAAUGUAGGGAUGUGAGCACAAAUUAGGGCGAAAGUCCCGCCGAAAUAGCAGGGCACGUGAUCAGCAGUCGCGUUGUGGGGCGAGUUCCAUGGGAUCAUGGACCUCUGAACACGGACAGUUGCAGGAAAAUCUCAUGGAUCAUGGGCCACUAUGCAGGCAGUUAUAGCCCAUAUCUUACAGUCCAUAUCCAAAUUUAUCACCUAUAAAUAGGAGAGUAAGUAGUCAGGUAAAGGGUUGGAUUUUUAUUCAUUACUUUGAUAAUAUAGCGGUAGCCUUGCUGACUUGAUCGUCGGAGUGCUAACUUGCAGGUUGCAACCGUUCGGAUAAAGAGAGAUAAGAAUCCUGAAACACUCAGUUAAAGAAGUCCAGCGUGUCAUCGUAAUCCAUAGGUGAUCGGUGUCUUGGUUCCCAUCCAAAACAAUUGGCAUACAUGGAAAAUAAGUCAUUAAGACUUGACUCUUUUCCAUGGAAAAUAAGUUAUCAAGACUUGACUCUUUUUCAUGGAAAACGUACAUACUCACGUCGUGUGGCGCCUAGUCAUACCCUCGGAUGAUAGGUAAACUACCGACCGGUACUAGAGGAACAUCGUGAGCAGGAAUGCCCUCCUUGAGUAAGUGGAUGGGUAUCCCGUACACAACCCUUUCACCUCCAAACACAGGAGAAUGCGGCCCUGAAUCCUCUUCCUCAUUAUUUACAAGAGACAGAGGCCGCCUUGAGUCUGAAUCCCAGUUGGACCUCUUGAGAUAUGAUGACGACAAUGAACCGGGAGACCAGGGCUGACCGUCGUCACCCCCCGCUGUGUCGUCGCUCUUUUGCUCAACAACUCCAAAGAAGACUCAAUGUUAACAACUACCAUUUAUUACUUGAGGCAAAAAGAAUGUUGUGAAACUGGAAACGAGAGAAGAAGUGAGAAAAGAUGAAAAUGACAGCGACCCACACUCCUAUUUAUAGAAAAAUUUUGAAAACCGUCAAGCAUCGCCACCAUUAAAGAUCGCCACGACUAACGACCCAGAUUCGAAAAUGUUUCAAUUGCCUUGAGUAAGCGAUCACCCGACAUGUGUUUUUCCCGCCCAAACCCCAUUCCAAUAUAGUCGGGCAAUGACGAAGUCAUUAAUGAAGUCGUCAUAGAACCAGAGAUAGCUUAAAACCCUACAUCAACUAUGUUGCUUAGGGUUUGGGGUACUUGUGUACGAGAUGGGUCGGGCAGCCACAAGAUCAUCUUGAUUUGUGCGUCUCACAUGCUAACUUUUGAGUCGUCCCAAUUUUAGAAGGGUCAGACGACCAUAGAACCGCCUCGUAAAGACCCUUGACCGGACAACCUAAGACAAAUGAUUGGUCAGAACCAGCGGUAAUCAUGUUUACAAAAGGUUUAAGGUAAGAAGUGAUUAAAGCCAUUGGGCCGAAAUUGGACCGUGAUUAAGAUUUCGCUAAUCCCAGGUCCAUGGUGAAAACUAUAAAUACAUGUCACAGGUAAGAAGUAGGUGGUUCACAUUUACUACGCAUUUAUUACUGAUCCAAUAUCUACGAAUGAAUUGUUUACUGACUUAAACAUCGGAGAACCUUUCAUGGAUGCACCUCUAGGCAGGAGAGCGAAUAAGGAGACCAAAGAACGAGAUCGGACGACAUUGAAGGAUAAAUUGUGGAGGUGUUUGAAUUGAUUCGACUUUGCAACCGAAACAAUUUCUAUUAUUGAAAACAAUUACUUUUUUGGAAAUAUACAAACACAAGAAACUCAUAACAAUGUAAAACCGCAACCCCUCUCCUCUCUUCAUUUUUAUUCUUCUGGAUGUGUGCUCUCUGCUUUUCUCCUGCACCGUGUGUGCUAUCACCACUUACAUUUUCCGUGGCUCUUCCUCUCUAGAUUUAUAAUAAUCAACCAUCACACUCAAAAUCACAGAUUACUACGAACAUAAUUAUAAUACCACCACAAUCAAGUCCAAACACCACUUUCUUGGAAGGAGUAAAAGUAGCUCCAUGAUAGGAAAACAACCCUACUCCUGUCCACAUCUUUUGUUAAAAAGUGUGGGGCCAUUUAUAGUUUAUUCUACAGUAUUUUCUGUCAUCCACCAAAUGUCAGUGUCUUUGGAUUAUGACCCUGAUAAUAGAUCUACACCAAACAAAAAUGGUAAACAUAUAUAGUCACUACCCAUAAAGUAAAAAAUAAACUUCCUCAUAACAUGAAAAACAUAGCCGCUACCGAUGCAGAAGAAACUACCCAUCCCAUAACAUAUCUAAUUCACAUGACCCACCCACAUAUACACCAUUGAUUAGAUUAGUGGAGACACCACAUGUACUCUCUGCUUGAAGCAAAUAUUUUUUAUAAUACUUUUGACAAAAAUGCACUGUUUUUAUAAGUAUAUUACCUAAUCGUCAAGUGAUGAUUGUAGUGUCAAAGAAUCAUUUUCUUUUAUAUAAACGAGAUGUUAUCAUGACAAAACAGAGUUGAUAUCAUUCAGCAUGUGCCUUACACUUUGCUGCAAGUGUCGUAUUUUCUUGUAGCAUCACGUAGUUAAUUUGUCUCAGAUUAUUACUUUUCAGGAAUCUUUGAGCAUGCAAGGUUAUUUAUGUCUUGUGUAUAAAAGAGAUGGAUUGCUAAUUGCCAUAACCUGCUUUUGCUUGUGUUUUUUCUCAGUUAAAGUGGUUGUCACUGGGGAAUAAUGGAGUAGAGAUGAUUUUGCAUGGAGAAUUUCGGAGAAACUUCUUAGACAACUUAAAAGUUCAUACUCUCUGCUUGAUUAUUGAUGCAUUUGGGUAUGAAAUUCUAAAACAGGUUCCCAAUAUAGAGAAGCUUGUGGACUUCAUUUACGAUUAUAGUGGACUUCAUUUACGAUUGAAAGAAUUACGCUUGGAGUCCCUUCAGGAGUUGGUUUCCCUUGGGUUAGAGAACUCUUCGACUGAGCCCUUUAUCAGAAAUCUCGAAACCUUUGAAGUGAUCAGCUGUUCCAAUUUAAAAAACUUGGUAACAUGCAGAGUGUCUUUCUCGAAUCUGAUAUGUUUAAAAGUUGAAAAUUGCGAUAGCUUGUCAUAUUUGUUCACAUCUUCAACCGCCAAAAGUUUGGCUAAACUCCAAAGAAUGGAUAUAGAAAAUUGUAAAUCAAUUGAAGAAAUAGUGUCUAAAGAAGGGGAAGAAUCAGACGAGGAUGAAAUAAUAUUUCCGAAGCUCAAUUGUUUGAGUCUUAAAUAUCUGGAAAAUCUCCGAAGGUUUUACAAAGGGAGUUUAAGUUUUCCGUUGUUGGAGGAAUUAUCAAUAACAGAGUGCGACGACAUGGUAAGUUUAUGUCCAGGUACCCUGGAAGCAAGUAAGUUGUCUGAAGUAAAACUUGAAUGGUCAAACACUGCAUUGGAAAUUGAUCUUAGCUCUACUCUGUGGAAGGAAUUUAUGAGCAAGGUACGUGUUUAUUUAUUCAACAUUCUGGUAGAAAUGAGGGACAUAAAAUUUUAAUAAAGGUUUAAUCAAGUGUAUCUACCUUUCCUUUAGACCUUUUAUUUGAAAAAACAAUGUACAAAAUGCGUCUUGCAAAACAUUCAACUCACAAAUGAAAUAUUUUCUUAUCUAUGAAUUCUCUCUCCCCGGUUAGUUUUAUACCUAAAUGUAAAGUAUUUAAACGUCGAGUUUUCUUUAUAUAUUUAACAUUCUUAAAAUUAAUUGGAUGUUAUCUUUGAUAUAUAAAAGAAUGCAUUCCUUAUCAAAACUGCUUUGGAUGACCAAGUCCGAUGGUUACUUAUUAUGGAAAUUAUGUAUAGUACUUGCUAGCAGUUAUCUGCAAAAGAAAAGCAACUUUUUUAAUUAGGAUAGGUCAAUAUUGAUAUUAUAAAUUUAUGACUUUACCUAUAGUGCCUCGUCGUCAAACUUGUUACAAAGAAAAUAAUAUAUGUUUCAUGUUAAAAAAUUUGCAGAGAAGUUUAUGCAGAUAAAUUCUAAUAACUCCCAAAAAUAAAUACUAUGUUUAAUUAUUUUUGUUUUCUUAAAUAAGGUAAAAAAAUCACUAAUAAGGUUUCGAUUAUUGUGAUGUUAUUAAAAUGUUUUAGAGAAAUUAUACUUCUACCAUUCUUAGUUAUACAAAUGUUUUAGAGAAAUUAGUCUAAGUACAAUUUAGAAACAAUUUUUUGAUAACCAAAAUCUUGACAAUUAAUGUUAGUGACCAAUUUAUUAUAGUGACCAAUUUAGAAACUAUUUCAAUUAUUAAUAAUUUUUAAUUUAUAAAUUGAUAUCUAAGUUAUUUACUAUAAUGACUAAUUUUUUUUGUGACUAAAAUUAGUUAUUAUUUGGAGAUUUUCUUGUGCAGUGUAUGAUAUAAAAGAUAAAAGUUGAAAACUUAAAUAAUUUAACUAGCAUUUAUAUAUCUUAAAAUCUUGUUAAAUAAACUUGUGUUUUCUUUAAUUUUAAAUUGUGUUAUAUUUUUAUUCUAAAGAGGAAAUGAGAAGUUUUUCGAUAUAAUAUAUCUCAUGCAUGUCUAAAAUACAAAAGUUUAACAACAAUUACUUGUUAUUAUUGCCACUAUAUCUUAUUUAGGAAAAUAUUAAAAACGAUCUAUCAUUAUCUAAUGUAAAAAAUAAAAAUAAUAAAGUCAUAUCUUAUAUAAAUGUUAAAAGAUAACGUAUUAAAUGUUUUAAGAAAAAAAAAUAAUUUAAGAAUCUAAAACCAACAUAAAAAAAGGUUAAUUCUAAUAACAUUUAAAAAGUUCUACAAUUUGAAAAGAAAAGACAUUAAAAUUGAUCAUUGCAUUUCUGAAAAAUUAGUUAUAAUUGGUGGUUUCUAGCAAAAGUAUAUUAAAAAAAUCUGAAUUAUUGUUAUCCAUGUAAAAGAUUAAUUUCAUAUUUUUAUUUAUUGGUUGAUUUGUGCUGAUUUCGCAAGAUUGGAAGGAGAUCCAGUGUUGAGUUCAAAGAUAGGUCAGACCUAAACGAGAUAUGGCGUCUUUCACGGCAAAUGAACGACUUCUGUUUCAGUAACUUGAAAACCUUGGUUGUGGAUGGGUGCCAACUUUUAUCAUAUGUAAUCCCCUUCCAUGUGCUUCCUUUGUUACCUCAAUUGCAAACAUUGGAAGUUCGAAACUGUGAUUCUGUUAAAACCAUAUUUGAUGUCAAAUCUUCACAAGAUACAUUCACUUUUCCUAUGAAGAAAUUAGUUUUAUUGAAGCUGCCAAAUCUUGAAACUGAUUGGAAUGAAGAUCCUGCUGAAAUUGUUACAGAGCCUAAUCCAGCUCAUCCAGAACAAACAAAUCCUAAGGUUACAUUCCCCUGUGAUUUGCCCAAGUUCAAGCAUAUUCGUAUACAUUGCAUUCAUGAUCCAACAGCAUAAUAGUACAUAUAUUCUUGUACUUCCAUUGAAAUUAUCAUGCAUCAAAUAUUGCUUAAAUCUCCUACCAAUCAUCGAAAGUCUCUCAUCUCAUUUAUCAAAUUUUUCAUCUAAAAUUUUAAACUCGAAAUUGUUGCAAGUGCAUACGGUAUGGCCUUAUUAACAGCUACCCGGCCUGGCUUGUUCAUCUUUUUUAGAGUUUUUAAAAUAAACGUUUUUUCUUUCAAAUUGACUAGUUCACACCUAUUUUUAUUUUAUAUUGAUUUGUUUAGUUUUUUUUUUACUAAUUAUCAGACUUAUUUUAGCAUAAAAAUUUACGGUUUCAAUUUUAUAUAGAGAGACGAAUAUAUAUGACUGUGCUAACUGCUUUCACUUCGUUAUUGGUUUUUCUUUGUAGAUAAUUACAUCGAACUUAGAACAUCUGACCGUGAGUGAAAAUGAAUUGAAGAUGAUUGUCGAUGGGAAAUUUCAGAGAAACCUUUUAAACAAGCUAAAAGUUCUCGGUCUGUGCUUUGAUAAGAAGUGUGAUGAAUAUCCGGAGAAUGGGUUUCUACAAGAGUUGCCAAAUGUAAUGAAGCUUGUGGUGUGUGGCAGUUCCUUCAAAGUGAUUUUCUGCUAUCAAAGACCGAAUAAUAGUGAAAUGCUUUUACAAUUAAAAGAAUUACGUUUGGAGUCCCUUCAAGAGUUGGUUUCCAUUGGCUUAGAAAACUCAUGGACUGAACCCUUUGUCAGAAAUCUAGAAACCUUUGAAGUCAUUGCGUGUUCCAAUUUAAAAAACUUGGUAACAUGCAGAGUGUCUUUUUCAAAUCUGAUAUGUUUAAAAGUGGAAAAUUGCGAUAACUUGUCAUAUUUGUUCACAUCUUCGACAGCCAAAAGUUUGGCUGAACUUCAAAGAAUGGAAAUAGAAAAGUGUGAAUCAAUUGAAGAAAUAGUGUCUAAUGAAGGGGAGGAAUCAGAUGACGAUGAAAUAAUAUUUCCGAAGCUCAAUUGUCUGAGUCUUAUAGAUAUGAAAAAUCUCCGAAGGUUUUACAAAGGGAGUUUAAGUUUUCCAUUGUUGGAGGAAUUGUCAAUAGGACGACUUGGGUAAAAAUAUAUAUAUAUAACCUUAGGUACGACUUGGGUAAAAAUUCAUCAAAAUAAUAUUCAUAAUAGAAUUAUACUUUUCAUAUAUUUUUAACUACUAAGAGUUGCCUACUGCAAAACUAAAUCACAAAAAAAAAAAAAAAGAUAGAUGGAUUUUGAUUAUUACAAUUUUUUCUAUAACUUCUGAUUCAAACUGGGUCCAUAAUUUGAACUCAAAAUUAUAAUAUUUAUUUACAAAUUUAAUUAAUAUUAUAACGAAAUUUAUGUGAAAAAAAUUAAAAGUACUAUACUAAAAUAUUUCAAAAUAAACAAAAUAUAAAUAAUAAAGAGUUCGUGAUAUAUAUUAUUUGUACUUAAAAAUAAUAAAUAUGAAGAAGAAAAAAAAAGAACAUUGUUUAAAAUAAUUAUAAAUUUUAUUAUUCAUAACAACAAUUUUUAUUUAUUUAUUUACACGCCUCAAAUAUACCGUAACGGUUCAACAAAAAUAUUUAACUUUAUGAUAACUAAAUAAAAUUAUAAAUCUCAAUUCUUAACUUGGUUUUGCAAGUCGUUAGGAGAAGUAAUGUGAAUUACAAAACGAGAUUCAGUAGAAAAUUUCUUUUAAAUAUAGUAAAGUGGAUUUCUUUUCGUAAUAAAAAAUAAUGAUAAAAAUAGUGAGUAUUUCAUAUUUGUAGAGUAAUAAUUUAAAGGAUAUCAUUGACUCUUGUAAAUAAUUAGUUUCAUAUUUUUAUUUAUUGUUUUGCACGUGCAGAGUUCAGAGCUUGAGGAACUUGAUCUAGAAAGUAGGCCAGGACUACAAGAGAUAUGGAAUGGCUCACUACAUAUCCCCAACCUCUGUUUCACUGAGUUGACCAAAUUGACUGUGAAUGACUGUCGAUUUUUGUCAGAUGCAGUGCUGCCCUUCCAUUUACUUCCUUUAUUACCUAGAUUGAAAACAUUGGAAGUUGGAAACUGUGAUUCUGUCAAAACCAUAUUUGAUUUCAAAUGUACAACAAAAGACACAUCAAUUACUUUUCCUCUCAAGAAAUUGGUUUUAUCCAAGUUGCCAAAUCUGGAGGAUGUUUGGAAUGAAGAUCCUCAUAGAAUUUUAUGCAUGCAACAUCUAGAAGAAAUACAUGUCAAGGAAUGUAAAGGCCUUAAAAGUGUGUUUCCCGCAUCAGCAGCCAAAAGUCUUGUGGAACUUGAAGAUCUAAUAGUGGAAGACUGUGAGGGAUUGAUGGCAAUUGUUGCAGAUGAAUCUAAGGAGGGGGAUGAAUUAGAUGAGAAUACGAUAAUGUUUCCUCGGCUCAGUUAUUUGAAGGUAGAAAGUUGCAAUAGUCUGCCAUAUUUGUUCACAUCUUCGACAGCGAAAAGUUUGGCUAAACUAAAAACGAUGAAGAUAAAAGAAUGUAAAGCAAUUGAAGAGGUAGUGUCGAAGGAGGGGAAAGAAUCUGACGAGGACGAAGAAAUAAUAUUUAAGCAGCUCGAGGAUUUGUAUCUUGAAAAGUUAGAUAAGCUACGGUGCUUUUAUUCUGGCAAUUUAACUUUUAGUUUUCCCUCCUUGGAGGAAGUAUAUGUCAUCAAGUGCAACUCUAUGAAAACUUUCAGUGCAGUAAACAAAAUAAAUCAUCCCACAAAAUGGUAUUGUUCAGAAUAUGAGAGACCCCAGAAAGAAACCGAUCUCAAUUCUGCUGUGCUCAAAACUACUGCAAAGGUGGUACCUACACUUUUACGUCUAAAUGUUUCUUUAUAGAGAAUGAUAGAUGAUAUUGUCCAGGAAUUAUAGGUUCCUGUAUAACAAUAUUUUCAGACAUUAUUUUUAGUGUAAUGUGUUUUUUAGUUGCAUCGUGCUUAAAAUUAACUUGCACAUAUUCUUUUGUUUUAAAUAGGCUCCAGAUGCUUCUGGUGCCAUCAUUUCAGUUCUCCAAUAGCACAGAUAGUGAAUAUGGUACAUCAAAUAUUAUCUAAUGCUACUAAAUUGUUACUUUUUUUAUGGUGAGUUAUGAGUUAUACUAUCAUUUUCUCUAUGCAUAUGCAGGUGGUGAUCAAUAAGAAGCAGUUUUUCACAGCAUUACAUGAUGAUUAUGACUGAGUAUGUAAGCAAUUUUUUUUAGUUUAAUUUAAUAUUAUAUUGAUUUCUAUUUAAAUGGAUGUUUUAGUUGAGACUUAUGAUAGAAUGAUAUUCUCUAUAUAUAAUGCUACUUUUACUUCCUUUGUAAUUAAAUUCAUAUUCUUUUCUUAAUAACUUUUAUGAAAGUAUAGUAAUUGUUCUUGUACAUUGUAUAGGUUGAAUCUGAGUUGCCGACUACAAUAUUGCAGUAACUAAGAGGAGAUGGAAGGCAUAAUUAAAGAGUGCAUGAAGAUGAAUCUAUCUCUAUUUUACUAUUUUUGUGUGAUUUUUUUUCAAAAUAAAAAAAAAAAUGUGUUUGUUCUAGCUCGUUGAAGAUGAAAUACAUUAUAUUAUUUAUAUUAUGUAAUGUGGGAUUAAGAAUGAUGAACAGUCAUGAACUGUCACUAAAUAUUGACUGUAAGUGCUUAUGCCGAAAAAAAAAAAGUGUGCUUGUUUUCAUAUGUUGUUAAUUUUAUUUAUAUCUCAGGUUUGAUCAUAAUACUUUAUUGGAGCUGAGCAACACUUAGCCUGCUUUUACUUCGUCAUUGCUUUCUAUCUGUAGCUAAGAACUUAGAAAAUGAAAUGAAGAUAUUACUCUGUGCUUUCAUAUUGAGUUGUAUUUCUGGAAUUUAUGGAACACCUCUUGUGGUGAAAUGUGGAGAACCUUGUGGUGUGUUAUGGUUUCUUGAAGGGACACCUCUUACAGCUGAAAGAAUUACACUUGAAGUCCUUUCGGAAAGGGGUUUUCAUUGGGUGAGAGAACUCUUGAACUGAGUCCUUUGUUAGAAAUCUUUGAAAUCAACUGAAAGGAAUGGAAAUAAAAAGGUGAAAAUGAAUUAAGAGAUAGUCUCGGGGAGGAAGUGAGCAUGAAAAGUUAAUAUUCGUGCAGCUGCAGGUUUUGUAUCAUUGGCUAAGCUGUUUUUAUUGUAUCAAUUUUACUUUAUGUUUUCCUUCGAGGAAGUGUUCCGAAGAUAAUAAAAAUAAUAUUCGAAAGUUAAAUUUACAUAAUUUUUUUAUAUAAAAAAUAUGCAAAGUAAUGAAAUGUACCAAAUAAAAGAAACAAAUUGCUCACACUGUCUUUUACAAGAAAAGAUUUUAGACUUCAUUUCUUCAUCAACCAUUAUGUAGAAAUUUAUUUAUUUUUAUUGUUUCGUUUGUGAGAAUUUUUAAAAGAAAAGUUUGUUUAAAAUAUUUUAUAUGGUAAAAUAUUAAAAAUGCUAAUAUUUUUCUAUAUAAAAUAUUUAAAAUAAUAAAGUUAAGAGUGAAACAAUAAAAUCAUAUCUUAUAUUAUAUAAGAAAGAAAACAUAGUAAAUAUUUUAAGAAAAAUAAGAAUAAAUAUAAAAACGCUUCUAGGACCGUUAAUCAAACAUAAUUUAAAAUUUCAUGUGAUAGAAAAUUAAAUUAAAAUUAAAAUUAAGUAAAUAUGUAAUUUGCAUCCUUGUCCGUUAAUUUAGUCUCAAUCAAUCAAGCUGGGGUUGAAUUUCAAAAUAACAUCUACUGAGUUCUAUUCCUAAACUAAAAAAAGGAUUUCGUCUCUUAAAACUAAUAAAAAAUGAAAGUUUAUGAUGGUUUUAAAAGUUAUAGAAUUCAAUAAUAAUCACAAAAUAAAAAAAAAUUAAAAAAUAGUUAGAGAUCUUUUUAUAAAAUGCUUAAAUUGAGGAAGCAAGUAAUAUUUUCUUACUGAAAAAGUUGACAGUGCAAAGAAUUUCCAAUUUUACGAAAAUUAAAUUGGAUUUUAAAUCAAAGACAAAUUUUAAAUGAAUUGAAGAUGAUUGUGGAUGGAGAAUUUCAGGGUAACUACUUUCCCAAGUUAAAAGUUCUUAUUCUGUGCUAAAUGUAUUUCUAGAAUUUCUACAACUGGUGCCAAAUGUAUAGAAGCUUGUAGUGUACCAUGGUUCCUUUUUGAAGGGGAUCUUCUGCUGUCAAACUUCUAAUAAUGUUGAUGACAGUGGGCACAUCUUGCAGCUGAAAAACUCAUUGAAUUUGUCAUAUCUAUGACAUAUAAUUAAGCAUGCUGCAAAAUUAUUAUAAUUUAUUUAAAUAUUUUAGAAAUAAUAUAUAUAUAUAUAUAUAUAUAUGAGUUUGUUUUUCAGUUGAAUCUAUGUUAUAGGAUGAUAUAGAAAAUGUUGGAAUGAGAGAGAUAAAAGAGGAAGGAUUGAGAAGAAUGAGGGAGGUAAGUAAGAGUUUGGGUUUCUUUUUUCUUUUUUUAGUUGUGAGAAUGAAAAUUAUUUAAAUACCUUGACUUUAAAACUUAGAAUUUUUUCUACUAUUCAUAAUACAUUGUUAAAACGUACCAAUUGAAAAACAGGCGUACCCGGGUUAACAAAUCUCAUAUAUAUAUAUAUAUAUAUAUAUAUAUAUAUAUAUAUAUAUAUAUAUAUAUAUAUAUAUAUUUAUAUAUAUAUAUAUAUAUAUAUUUAUAAUACAAUAUAAUAUAAUGUGUGUGUACCUACGACUUUUUAAACAAUUCUUAAAAAUAAUAGUCAUAAUUUGAUUGUUCUUCCUUUUUUUUUAACUACUAUAUAGGAGUAGCCAACAAGUGUAGUGUAGGUGACACCAAAGAUAUAUCAAUGUAAUUUUAAUCAUUACAAAUUUCUCUAUCUAAUUAAAAUCUACACACUAUUUCUACAAUUUAAAUUUCCAAUUGUAUUGAUUUACAAGUUUAAUUAAAAAUUAUGAUGAAUUUUUUUGAAUAAUGUUGAAUAAAAAAAUAAAAGUAACAAAGGUUUGUGAUGAAGAUAUCUGACAUGGGAGUGAAAUGUUAAAUGUGAUAGGUACUGCUUUCAUGGUAUUCACAAUCAACUGAAUUCUAUUGAUAGCUGGAGAUAGAAUUGUUUUAUUUUUACCAAAAACUCAAUUUUUAUAUAAAAACUAUUCAUGAAGAUCAAAGGAAAAAACAAAAAUGUUUAAAAUAAUAAUAAAUUACAAAUUUUUUGUUCCGAUAACUAAACAAAAUUAUAAAUCUCAAAUCUUAACUUGUUAAGAAGCUCUUGAAGUGAUGUAAUCUAAAAUAGAAAAGGGGAAUCGGUAGAGAAGUUAUUUUAUAGAUAUAGUCAACUGAGUUUUCUUAAUUAAAAAUAAUUCUUAAUAAAAUUAGUAAAUAUUUCAUAUUUCUUAAUUAAAAAUAAUUCUUAAUUAGUGAAUGUUUCAAGGUGACCACAUUGACUGUGUUCAUGUGCAGGUUUUUUUCUACGAAUAAAAAAUAAUAUACAUUUUCUUUCGGGAGAGAAUCUCUAACUAGGAUAUUAUUUUUCUUCCUUGUAAAUAUAAUUCAAUUAAUUAAGAAAGUUCAAUAACACAGGCAUAAAAAAAAAACAAAGGGUAGUUAUUCAUUCUUUGAAUUAUUAUUUUUGUUUUUAGUCUUAUUAUGCAUAAAAUUAACUUCUAUAUAUAUUCCACUAGUGUAGAAAAGAAAUAUGAUAUUGAUUGUUUUUAUAAUCAGUAACGAUUUCGCUACUAAUGCAUAUUAAUAUAAGAUAAAAAAAAAAACUUUUAGUUUUGAUUAUGAAUUAAAACAAAAUGGUUCACAAUUUACUUUGGCAAUAAAAAAAUAAUAUACAUUUUGUUUCGGGAGAGAAUAUGUAAGUCUGAUUUUAUAAUUUUAAAAUUAUAAAAUCAACUCUGAAUUAAAUCAAUUUUAAAAUAAAAAUAUAUUUGGCAUUGGUUGUAGUGAACUAAUAUGCUUUACUUUAAAAUUAAUUUAAAAAUUAGCAUAUAAAAUUUGUUGUAAAAAACUGACAAAAUAGUAUUUUAUGAGACGGUCACUGUCCUUAAGGACUUUCCGCAGUGUGUUGUGCAAGUCCUCAAUAUACAACCAGAACUUCUCAGUUGAGGCUCAGAACUAGCAACGAUUUCUUUAAAGAGUAUAAAAACAAACCCAGAAUAUUUUUAGAAGAGAAAAAGAAUACAAGAAAAUAAGUUUUUAGUGUGUCUUGAAAUGGAGAAAAAAUUUUCUAUUUAUAAAACUAGGGAGGAAUCAAUUAAAUAAAAGAAAUUAAAAAUCAUAAAGAUUUUUAAGGUUGCAGCAAUUAAAAUAAUUUAACAUUAAUGUUUGCCAAUUAAAAAAUAUAAAGGUUGUAAGUUAAGAAAGUUAACGUUGGCAAAUAUUAACGUUGCAAAGCAACGUUUUCAUAUUUUGCAAUAUAUUAUAACAAAAUUUUAGAGUCUACUACACAAUGCAAAUUGAACACACUAAAUAAUUAGCAAUUUAGCAUUAACUUUUACUUGUUAGGAUCUACCUAUGAUCAAAAUGUAUAUUUUCCUACAUAAUCAAGCAAUAUUUUCCUAACUAACACUCUGAUUUAGAAAUUCGCAAUAUCCCUCCAUAAUCAAGGAAACAUACUUUUCGUUGAAUGUUAAUUCUAAAAUAAAUUACAAACCUCAUUUGAGUCCCUUCUUUUUAGAAAAAUCUAAAACCGAUAUAAUAAAAUCAAUUAUAACUAAAAAAUAAAAUUGAUUUAUCUGGACAGUUUUGGAUUUGUUUCUAUACUUUUUACGUGGCUAGGACUUUUUAUUUUAUUUUUGUCUGUGAUUCACUUGUCUAUUACAUGUAGAACAAGUAAUUCUCGUGUAUUAUAUCAGUAAAAAUGUCUAAAUAAUUAUCAAUUUUAACAAUAUUUUAUUGUAUAUAUAAUUAGCCAUAAUCAAAUGAUAAUAUGAAAAAUUUACAUGGUAAGUUUUACCAAUUUUUAACUCACUUUUUCUUUCUUACUCAUAAAGAAGCGGAAUAUGACAAGCGCAACCCAAUUAUUUAUCUUCUCAGAAAUUAAAUUUUUUUAUUUUUCAAUAUAAUUUAUUGAUACAUUAAAUAAUUUUUUAUAAUUUUUAUCGUGCAUAAUAUUCACAAUGUUAUUUUUUUUAGGAUUAAUUUUUUAUAAUAUUUUUAUUGUGCAUAAUAUUCACAUUGUCUGCCACAUUUUACAUAUUGUGUAAGUGGACAUAAAUAUAGACAACUGAAAGUUGUUUACAUUCAUUACAAGACAAUGCUUCAUUGGUGACCCUAAUAACAAAUCAACGGUAAAAGAGUGUCUGUGUCGUGUAGGCCGAAAGCCCAUCCUUCAACCCUCUGGAUACGUUUUGUAUCGCUUGAAAGAUCGACUUUAGUAUGGCAUCUAUUUGAUCAAUGCUUAUAUAAUUUUGUAUUAAUUAAUAAUUAAAGCUAGCCUUGGUAUUAGUUAAUGCUGUAUAUUUAUUUUAAAAAAUUUAUAUUAGAGAUAGUGUUAGUUUAACUGAUAUUAAUUUUAUUUUCUUUUAGAAAAAUUCAUAAUAAAAAAAAUUAUUUUGUAGUAUUGACGUAGCUCAUGAUAUUAUUGUUUUUAUUAAGUUACAUCCAUAUAGAAUAGGUUUGGCUCACUUUUUCAUUAAUAUUUUUAUUGUUUAUUUAUUUUCUCUAUUUAGAACGGAUUAGAAAGAUGCUUAAUUUUGUAAUAUAGGCUUGAUCAACAUGAUGUUUAAUAUUAUUAUUUUUUAUUUGUGUUUGGUUAGAGGGAUCUUGUUAUAAACUCUUUCAUUAAAUUUUUAUUUAUUUAUUUAUUUAUUCUACUUAAAAUCGAUUAGACCAACACUUAUAUUUGUAGUGUAGACUUAAUCUACAUAAUGUUUGAUAUUAUUAAUUCUUAUUAAAUUGUGUCUAUUUAAAGUGGUGACAACUCUUUAAUUAAUAUUUUUAGUUUUUAUUUAUUUUUUGUAUUCAGCGUUUAUAUUAAUAAAAAGUUAUUUUAUAGCGUGAUUUAACUUAUGUUCAAUAUUAUUACUUUUCAUUAAUUUGUAUUCAAUUAAAGUGAGCUAACACACUCUUUCAUUAAUAUUUUUUUUUUUUUAUUUCUUUUACUUAUUUCGGUACCAACAUUUAUAAUAAUAAAAAUUCAUUUUGUAGCACCGAUUUUGACCAGAGCUGUUAAAAUUGAUUAAUUUGCGGGCCAAUCCGAUCCAUCAUGGGUUCGAGUCGGGUUGGGUUUGAAAAAGUUAUAUUUUUUUUUUGUGUGUCAAUUUACUCAUUUAAACUAGGCUUAUUCGGGUUGAACUCGUGGUGGACCGAAUUGACUCACCUACCUAAUUUUAUUUUAUUAAAAUUUAAUUUUAAUUUUAUAAAAAAGUAUUUAUUAUUAUUUUUUGCUUGAAAAAUUAAUUUAAGUUCUCUAUUUUUAAAAUUAAUUAAACACCCCAUAUUGUAUAUAUUCAUUUUGGGAGUGUAAUUUGUUUAGAUUUGAAUUACAAAAAGUUUGUAAUUUUUUUUAUUUAAAAAAAUUGUACUUAAGUGAGUCAAUGAGCCAACCUAUUUAUCCACCAACCUGUGGUAGGUCAAGGCGAGUUCGAAUUUUUCUAACUCGUUAAUAAAUGAGUUGGGUUGGAUUGACUCACUAAGUGAUCAAGUCGGACUUGGUGACCUGCUAUGAUAACACUAGUUUUGACUCAUACAAUAUCUAAUAUUUUUUUUUUAUUUGAUUAAUUUGCACUCAUUUAGAGUGGAUUUGAUCCACUUAAUUCUUUAUAUAUUUAAGUUUGUAUUGAGUUAGAGUUGGUUUGAGGGAGUUAGAGGUGAUAUUUAAUGAUAAUUAAUAUCCAAUACUGUUGUACUGAGUGUUGAAUUUGAUGAAGUAUUACAACUUUAACAUAAGUUUAAAAUCGGUUGGUAUUCAUAAUAUUACAAAUAUAAAAUUUUCUUGAAGUAGCCACAUUUUGCAUAAUGCCUAAAAACAUUAACUUGUAAGUUUCCUAGACCUACGCAGUGAAAUGAGAAGAGUAUUAAGUUAAAAUUACUAUGCAAUAGUGACGGAAGCUAACAUUGCAUUUCACGGGGGACAAAAAAAAAAUAGAGAAAAUACAUACUCGUUGAAUAUUAGACGAUAUAAAUUAAAAUUGUCGUCUAUAACUAUAUAGACAAUGAUUUCUGUUUUUUUUUUCGAACUUUGGAUGACCGAGUAUAUAGAGAAAUCAUCUCCUAUAGAGCAAUAGAUGAUGAUUUUAAGUUAACCGCUUUCUAAUCUUUCUCAAUAAUUUAAAGAUUAUGACUCCUUCGUAAUAAAUAACAUUUUUAAGAAGAUUACCGUCUGUUUUCAUAUAUAUAUAUAUAUAUAUAUAUAUAUAUAUAUAUAUAUAUAUAUAUAGAGAGAGAGAGAGAGAGAGAGAGAGAGAGAGAGAGAUAUAGAUAUAUAUGAGUAAAAUGUAAUAAUUUUGUAUUUAUUUUAAUUAUUGAUAUAUAUUUUAUGGAACACUACCUUUUACCAUAUUAUCAUGUUAUAAUGAAAUGUCUGUUGUUGUUGGUUUUCUUUUUUCAUGUUAAUUAGUGUUUGAAGGAGUGGGUUGGUUAAUGUAUGAUGCAAUAACAAGGAUUUUAGAAUAAAUUAGACGUUUAAUGAUUGAUUACUUUGUUGAGUGGGUGGAAUGUGCACCAAUAUUUUAAAACGACUUGGGAAGUGUUGUAAUGAGUCAUAAAAUAAAGUGAACAGAAGAUCCUGAUAGAUAUCUAUCUAAUCUUUAUGGACUACAUGUUUUUAUAUAAUCCAAAAGAUAUUCUCUCCGCGUUACCUUUCACAUGUAAUAAAAUAUAAACAAUGACAGUAAUGAUUACAAAUUUAAAGCAUUAUUUGUUGGCUUUUAGAGACUAUAGCAUGUGAACACUAAAAGUGUUGUGUAAUACGUGAUAUUACCGGCCUUUGCCAAAUACCUUUUCUUUUCUUUUGAUAUAUUUUAAAGUGAAGGGACUGAUUGGAGGAAGAAGGAUAUUGAAGUAUUUAUUUUAUUUUCGGAUCAUGAUAUUUUGAUAACUUUUUUAAUAAUAUUUUGAUAACAAGGUAUGUGUCAUCACUUUAUUGGUCUAUUUGAAUUUAUGUUUAAAAAAAUAUUUGAAAUGGACCAAUCACAAGUUGUUACGUAUGUGUUGUUAAAAAACUGUCAAAAAAAGUGUUGUUAAAAGAACUUUUUCCUUUAUUUUCUUCUGUUUUGACUGUUCUUUCAAGCUUUGUUAAGAGUCUCUCGCUGCUUUAGUUGUCGUCAUGGUGUGGUAAAGUAAACUCUCAUGAAAACAUGAUGCUCUCUAUUUGAACUUCAGGUUUUCUAUGUCUUAUUAUACUAAAAAAAAUUGAAAUUAUUGACGGACAUAAUCCAUCGAAAACAAUCAAAUUAUGUCUGUAAUUUAUAUUUUCUGACAAUUUACCGACAAUCAAAGAUUUGUCGGUAAUUUACAAUCGGUAACCAUUAUCGACGAAUAUUGAUUGUCAGUAAUUACUGACGAACAUAUUCUUUGAUAAUUACCAACAAACGAGCCUUUCGGUAAUUAUCGACGAUCGUCGGUAUGUCUAUCGGUAAGGUCGUGAGAAAGUCCCAUGGAAUUUGUAUUGUUUGACUACCCCACAUUCACAUAAUUAGACUUGCACAAAACAAUAAUAUGUAAUCCAUAUCCAGACAAUCAGAACUAUAAAGACUACAUUAAACCCUACAUAUGAGAAACAUCUUUGGUACAAAUUUUUCAUAUAUUGAUUCAGUAUAAGCAUAUAAACCUAUGUCUUGUUUAGUAUCAAUUUGAAUAUCCUUAACAUUGGACUCUCCACUACACCCACUCAAUUUGGACUGAUUUAUUCCAUUGAUUUCGACUAUUCACUCCACAACUACCUUCUUGACUUCAAGAUCCUUUUUAGCCAAGUCAACAACAUCCUUAUGAAGAGAACACCAUUAACCAUUUUUAUAGAACAUCAGACCUUGAGCUAUCUACUAAAGUUUAGAGCAAGAAGAAGAAAGAGGAGAAUGAGGAUUAAGAAUUUUAGAACCCUGUGUGUUUGUGUUUACAUUUUUAUUCUUUAGUUUAAUGCAGUUUCAAUUUUAGGCUAGUUUAGUAUCAUUUAAAAGUUGUUUACAUAGUUACCUAGCAUUUUCAAUUACUAUGAGUAGUUUUCAAUUUAGGCAUUUUUAGCCUAUUCUAGUUGCUCAUUUUAGUUUCUAGGUAGUCAUAUUUUGAGUUUUAUGUAGUUUUUGUAGUUUGAGUUGUUUCUUAGCUAGAAUUUACCAUUUUAAACUUGUUGGCAUAGUUUAUUUACAGUUUCUUAGGAUAGUUUAGUACAAUUUUCAAUUUUGACCUCUUAAGAAGAGUUUUUGAGGUUUUGUUAAUAGAUUUUGUCUCUAUUUUUGACUCAAUUUUCCAGAUUUAUACAUUUCCAAUUUUGCUAGCUAAGCUUUUAAAUAGAUAGGGUAUCUAGUUGAAAAGUUUUUCCUUAGCACUUAUUGGUCUUGUUUGACCCUUUUAUUCUGAAUUAUAGUUCAUUGAAAACCUUUGGCCUAUAAAACCUUGUCUAGACCUUGUCAUAGAGCUGUGGGGUGAAUUAGGUCAUGCAAUGGACCACUGUUGAGUUCAAGUGUGGGGAUGUCAUUGACAAGAGAGUUGACCAAUGGUUGGUUUGCAAUUGAGCUUCAAAUGUUAUAGCAAUUGUGGGAGAAGCUAGAGAGAGAUUAAAAUACACUUGUGCUGAACUUAAAAGAGAUUAGAAAAGACUAAAAGCCUCUAGCUUUCAUUUGCAGUUACUUAAUUUUGUUUAGAUACAUUUUUGUAGUCAAGUCUUAUUUGCGUAGUUUUAAUUCUUGUGUUUAGUAAUACAAGAUGGUACAUAUGUUGAGGUUUUAGAGGUACAUUUGUCAUAGGAGAAGCUUUCAAGAUGAGUUUACCAUGAUAAAAAAGUUUCAAAAGUUACCAUAAUGGACUUUCACAUAGGAAUUGAUUUUGGAGGCUUAAGUGGAGUGUCAUGGUAUAGUUGGACUUGUUACUUCCUAUAACAGGUCAAGGAGCUUAAAGAGGCACAAGGGAUAACAAGGAGCUUAAGUGGAGUGUCAUGAUCUAGUUGGACUAGUUGGAUUUGAUUUUGCUUUGUGUGCUUGAGUGAUUUUAGGUUACAUGAUGUAUCUGAUGGCAGUGAUGACAUCAUCUACUAAUGGAUGCUAGGAGGACUCAGAUAACAACAUUUACUGAUGAAUGUUGUUAUGAUGAAGAUGACGAAUGAAAACAUCUAUUGAUGGAUGUUGCCAUGAUAAGGAUGAAGAAUAAUAGCAUCUACUAAAGGAUGAUAUGUGAUUAAGCAUCUAUUGAUGGAUUCUAUGUGAUUAGACAUCUAUUGAUGGAUGUCAUUGACAACAUUUACUGAUGGAUGCUGAUGAAGAUGAGAAAGAUUAACAUCUACUAAUGGGUGCUAAUGAGAAAGAUUCGCAUCUACUGAUGGAUGCUAGAAGAUUCAGAGAUAGCAUCUACUGGCGAAUGCUAUAAUAUCAGGAUUUUUUUUAUUUUUAUGCUUGUUUGAAUUUCGUUUAUUUUGUUUUUAAUAAGCUAUGUACUUGGUUGAAAGAAUAACUCUACAAUAGUUUAUGAACUAUUUUGUGAUGAGUAAUAUUGUCUUUUGUUGCUCUAUGGUUUUAAAAUGCAUGGUUGAGUUAAUGAUUGAAUUAGCUAUUAAGCACAAAUAGUGGUUGCUCAUAAUUGUUUAAAACAGAUGCAUGGUUUCAAUUGUGAUUGAUAUGCUUGGCAAGAUAUAUAUUAAAUUGUGGAACUUGAGUUAACCUGUGAGAGGUUGGGCUCCAGAGUUUUAUUGUUGAAUGCUAUUGCUUUGGAAUCAUAGUUGAUUAUGCCUAAGUUUUUCUGUUGAACUAUUUGCUUGGAUGUGUCAUAUGAUCAAGGCCAUUUGUUCUUCUGCCAUAUAAGCCAAUGCAAUUUUUGAACCCAACAAAAGAACAAUGUUUGUUCUAUCCUUUGAACCUUAAGCCUAAAUUUGUGAAAAAACCCUUUUUGAAAUCUUUACCUUGAGUUGAGUUGAGUAGAUUUGUAUGGUAUGGAGAAAGGUUCAAGUUUGGGGUUGUUGAUGAAAUUUGAAGAAGAAUUGUGAAAAUAACAAUAAAAAGAGCAUUGAGCUAAGUGUUGAACAAAAUUGAAAAAGAAAAGAAAUGAAGAAAAAAAAGGAAAAGCUCAAUGAAUGAAAAGUUGGGAGUAAGAUGAGAAUGGUUUCUCAAAUAUAAAGGAGAAAGAGAGAUUAUGGUUAAUGUGAAAGGAUUUUUUUUACUCUCUUAACUCAAGGAAUUUUGUUGUCCAGAAAAACCAAUUUUCAGCCCAACCACGUUACAAGCCUUAGAAAGUCCUUAUGAUGAUAACUUGCUUGGGAAUGUGUUUUAAUGUGUUUAAAUGAAUGGAAAAUUUGAUCUAUGUGACAUUGUGAUAAUAGAGUGAAAGAGACACUGACACCUCACUAUACACCUUUGAGUUUGAGUGAAACACUUUUGAGUGCUUAAGUGAAAUACUUUUGAGUGCUUGAGUGAAAUACUAUCUUUGGUGAGGAAUGGUUCCAUGUAUUACAAGUUAACAUUCUGCUUGGUUGUUGAUCACUCAUCUUUUUGCAUAUGUUGUGUAUUCAUUGUUAUGUAGGCACCAUAAUUGAAGCUUAAUUGGCUAAGACAUCAUUAUUUCUUGACUUAUCUUUCUAUGAUGAGCAUACAUGAGUGAUUUACUUGUCUUAGAGAAAAAUGCUUUCUAAUGUACUAGACCAUUGUAGUAUAUAUAUUUUAUGUAAGCCAAGUUACAUUUUGCUUGAGCGCAAGCAAAGUUUCAAGUUUGGGGUUGUGAUAACGGUUGAAUAUACUAUUAUCAGUGAUUCAAUUUUGAUACUAAAUGCACCCUUCUUGACUUAGAAACUUGCUUUAACUCAUGUUUUUGCUUUAAUUUUUUGAAUAAGAGAAUUGAGGUUAUACUUAAUGAUUUUAUUACUAAAUUCCCUUAACUUUGUAGGUUAAUAGAGUGAUUUGGAAGAGGAGUCAAAGUAUGAAGGAGUCGAAACUCAAGGAGCGAGCAUAACUACAGAAAAAGAGAAAAAAAUAUGCAGUGCUGAAAAAGUUGUCCAAGCUGAGCACCCCUUUUAGGGGGGUUGAGUGCCAGAAGUUGCUGUCCAAAGCUUGGGCGCUCUUUUAGGAGCGCUAAGCACCAGAAUUUGCACCACAGCACGCCUGGGUGCCCUGAGCGCCAGUACUCGCUAUUUCACGCCUGGGCACUAAGCAUCGACGACGUGGGCUUGGACUUGUUUUCUGUUAUUUUUAUGAUCUAUUUAAAACCCAAAUGUCCUAAGGUUUGUAUCUUUUGAUGGUUUGAGCACAAAAACACGUUUUUCACCCCUUUAGGGACAAAUUUGGGGAUGUGACAACUCUCCUCUUCUCUUUCUAGGAUUUUUCUAUUUCUUCCAUUCCAUUGUACACCUAUUUUCUUCAUGAUGAUGGAGAACUAAUCUCAUUUGUUAUUGGGAAAGAUGUAACCUCUAACUCUCUUGUAUUUGAAUUGAUUCUUGUUAUUAAUAUAUGCUUCUUUCAUUAAUUGUUAGGGCAAUUCUUCUUCGCUCAAUACUUGCUUUGUUUAACUCAUUCAUUAGCAUGAUGUAUGAUUUGCAUGAGUAUCGAAAGGUAUCUUACAAUUCAGGUUUUUGAGAAUUAUUCCCAGAAGCAGUAUUGCUCAAGAAUGGGGGUAUGAGUUCUGGUUGUAUUAAGCUACUAAUCGUAAUGCAUAAUUAAUUGUUAGGGAUGCAAGGAAUUGAGACCUACUAAUUAAGGAUAGGUUUUCUUUGCCGAAGAAUUGGGUUUUAAGUACUUUAGAUAGUGACAUUGACAUUAAUGAAGAAGAUGAAUUCGUACAUGCACGAAAGUAAUUAAGUGAAAUCUAAACUCCAACAACCUAUUCAUUCCAUAUUAUCAACUUCAUCCAUUCAUUCUAGUGUUUAGUUUCAAUUAUUCAAAUUGCAUUCAUGUUUAUUUUUCUGCACUUUACAUUCAAAACUCCCAAAAUAUUGCUUUCAAUCUUAAUUAGUUAAGCAAAAGCACAACUGUUUAGUGCCAUGAGUUUCUUGGGAAACGAUACUUGGUCUUACAAUUUUAUAUUACUUGAUACGAUUUGUUAUACUUGCCAAUUCAUUGACAAGUUUUUGACUCCGUUAUCAAGAAUUAAAAAUUUUGUUUAACAAUGAGAAAGUUAUUUUUGGAUGUAAAUUACUUUUGAAUGAAGGACAUAAAUAAAUAAGUUGUUUAAAAAAAUAUACACAUAUGUUGUGGUGGUGCUUUUAGAUUUUAAGAAUUUAAAGUAAUGUAGGUUAUGCAAUCUAGCUCAUGGUUGGCCCCCACAUAUUACUAAAUAUGCGAAACAAGCAAGCAAAUUAAAAUACUCCGCUCAUAUGCAUUCUGAUUGGCCCGUGUGGCCAAUCCGAAUUAUCUCUAUCAUUGAAGAAAGAAAUGGCUUUUGCUGCAUAGUAACACAAGGUUUGAAGCAAUUUUUUUUUCUUCAAUACAUCUACAAGAUCAUAAAUCUUAAAAUCUCCUUAGUGGAAGAAAUCAUUCCGCUUUUGCACCGACCUACCAAUGACAGUUAAAUAUGUUAACAUAAUUAUAAUUACAUGGGUGGGUGGUUAUUAUCAUGUUGCAUACUUUUGAUGAAUCUCACCAUUUCCUGUAUGAUCACAUAAAAAAAUGUUUCAUUUCGUCGGAAUGUCAGAUUGUUAAAACUUUUUUUUUUCAGUGGGAAAUUAUUACAUUUGUUCACAACUGUGAUGAAUUUAAAUUACUCAUUGGGAAUUGAGAAAGUUGAAGAAACUGUUAUAGAUUUGUCAAUAACUUAUUUUAAUUAUAUUUCUCUCAUAUCGAGUCUCUUUAUAUAAAGAUUUUUAAUUAUUGAUAUAUCUUUCACAGUAAUGGGAUACUGUUUUGUGUUUUGUAUUAUGUAUGAUGUUAAUGAGAUACUCUCGUAAUAUACUCUUAGAAUACCCACAUACAUAGAGGCAAACUUAGCCCCUCACACUCCUUGUUCUCUAUUUUUCUCCUUCACGCUACACACUUCGUAGCUCUCUCUUACAACUAUGUGGUUUUCACUACUUCUUCACAGUAUGUGUUUUCCUUUAAGAUUUCUUAGUUUAUUUUACAAUUUAUUGGUAUCUGAAGGGCUGGGUAGUUGAAUGGGAGAUGUACUAACAACCAUCAUAGAAUAAAUUAGACGUUUAAUAAUUGAUUAGUUUAUUAAGUAGGUGGAACGUUGCCUCGUGUAAGAAUAUUUAGAAGGACUAACUAGUCUUGUAAAAAAUAAUAAAAUAAUCUGAAUAAUGUUUAAGUAAGACAACAUGUUUUAUUAUAACCAAAUACUCAUUCAUUCAAAACUCUGAGCUGCAUUAUUAUUUGGUAUAUAUUUUGAAGUGAAGGAAGUGAAUUGAGGAGAAAGAAUAGUGAAGUAUUGUCAAUCAUCCAUUCUCAGUGCUCUCUUUCAAGCUUUCUUCCGAGUCUCUGCCUGCUUUCUUUAGUUUCCCUCAUAGUCUGCUCAGGUAAACAAACACUCAUCCAAACUUCACACUUUCUACUUCAAGUUCAGCUUUAUCACUCUGUUGCUAUUUCUUGUUCUAAGAGAAGCACAUUAGACACCAACUAUGUUUCGUUUAUCUAUAAUAGGAAACGUUUUCGUUUGAAAUUUUACGCUCGGUCAACUUUCCUCAUAUUUCGACAUACAGUUUACAAAUUCAUUAAUUCUACAAGUUAAUAAAAAAAAAAAAUUGAAUUCCUUUUAGGUUUUGAUUUAGGUUUGUAUAGUUUUUUGCUUCUUAUCACUUUUACAAAAUUUUAAAUAAAUCUUCCAGGGAUUAUAAAAUAUGUAUUUUGUUUUUAGUUUUUGCAACAUAUUUUGUUUACACUGUAUGUUUUUAAAAUAACAAAAAUAAAAAAACAAAAUUAACCUCCCUUUCAAAAUUAUAGUGUGAGGUCUCUAACAUAUCCUCCAUGUGAAAAUUGAGAUUAAAAUUUUAUCGUGAAAGGGGAGCAAGUUCCUUCAUUAUUUUUACUUAUAGAGAAGGGAACAUGACAAGCGCAUCAUCUUGGUUAAGCAUGUGAAUAUAAUUGAAAUAAUUAUGUUUUUCAUCCUUUUUUUCAUCUUAUCUCAAAUAAUUGUAAUCUAAUUUUUUUACUUCAUAAGCAAAUAUUAUAUACUUAAUUUCUUCUUUUUAGUAUCAGACUUAUAAUGGUAAUUUUUGAAGGCUACAAAUCUUUUUAAACAAGUUGAAUAUGAUGACCCUAAAAGAUAUUAGCAUAAAAAUGAGAACCCUAUUAGAUUAAUUAUUAACAUAAGCAUUUGCUAUAAAUAGAUCAAGUGCAUAGCUCAACGAAAACAUUAUUUUCCCCUCAAUUCAGUACAACACAGGUGAAACCUCUCAAUGAUCACACGCACCGCCGAAGCGUUUUCAAAGAAAAGGGCUUGAAAUAUAUCAUUUAACUCAUUCGAAGAAGCUGGUGUGGAUCAGUUUCUCGUAUACUCUCAGAAACUCUCUUGCAGUGUUUCUCGGUGUUACGAUUUGGAAUAGUGACAAGCACAAGGAAAUCACAACUUAAGAUCAUCUAAUUCGAAUAACAGAGGUGCGUUUUGUAGCUUAUAUAAAUAUUGAUCUUAAAAAGUCUAGUAUACUUUGUGUAGAGACUUUAAGUUUAUGGAUAUUUUUAACUUUACUUUAGUCAAUUAAUCUUCCUUUUUGUCUUUUGUUAUUGUCUUUCACGAUAUAGAUGAGUAUUAUGUCUACAUAAUAUUCUCCUACAUUUAAGUAUGUUGAGUUAAUGUUAUAAUAAUGAACAUAAAUUAUUUACUUCUAUUUACUUCUAUUAUUGUAUUAUUUGAAGGAUAGUUAUGACUUAUUCAGUCAUCACUUAUAUGGGUCUAGAUGGACCCUAGUAGCCAAUUUACUUCAUGAGUUAAUUGUUUAAUCUAGAUUCUAUUAAGUUAUAUAUAGAGUAAUAUGUUAUUAGUUUUUUUAGCCCCAUUGAUAGUCAGACGGAACUACUUAUGGCCAGGUCUUGGUGGUUAUAUAAGUCUGUUUGUAUUUGGGUAGAGACAGUCAAUCGUUGUUUUUACAACUCUGACUUGUGGUGAGGUAGAAAUAGUAACUUACAAGGUCAAUUUAUGACCGAGUAAAACCAGACAGACAGGUCAACUUGUAGCCGAGUAGAAGCAUUCAAACAGACUGACUUGUUGCUUAUAAAGGCAAUAAGCAAGAUUGAUGUGUGGUCGAGUAGAGGCAUUCAGAAAGACCGACUUGUGGAAGGGUAGAGAUAUUCAGAGAAACUAACUUAUGCUUAGGUAGAAGCAUUCAGACCGGGUAGUUAACAUUAGCCUGGGUAGGUGACACAUAGUUUUGGUAGAUGACACAUUGCUCUCGGUAGAGGGUGUGUAGUCCUUAUAGGCAGCACUUAGAUCUCGAUAGACAGCACCUCUCGGAAGACGACGAAUAGUCUUGGUAGGAAACACUUAGUUUUAGUUGUCGGCACUUGGUUUUAGUAGGCGACAAGUAAGCGAUACUUGACUUUAGUAGUCCACACCAGGUAGGUGGUAGGGAACUGUAUGGAAGGUUUAACCAGGACUGUCUAGGUAGGCAAUAGGGACUUAAGCCAUGAUAUUUUUUAUCAUUAUAGACUGAGAUGUUCCAAGCCGUGAUAUUUCUCUUUUCUUUUCUUUUUCUUUUUUUUUUUUGGAAUGAAUGAUUCACAAUGGGCUUUUUCAUUUCCAAACAAGUGUGUGUAUGCAUUUAUAAGAAUCGUUCAAAAAUCAAAUUCAUAGAAACAACAACUUCCUCACUUUCUCUUAAAACAUUUUCAUCACACUCAAAUAUUCAAUGCUCUAGGUCAAAAUCAAACAGGAUAAUGAAUGAAUCAUUUUACAACCACAACCAUAAAUCUUAACACUUAAAUUUGCAAUGAUUUCCUCAAGAUAUACAAGUUAUCUUGUAAUGGAUUCAAAUCUCUAAAUGCCAAAAGAAAAAUAAAGGCAUAAAAUCAAGGAUAACCAAAAAAAUUAAUUUAAACACUACCUGAAAAUGUUCUAAAAUAAGUUAAAGUGUGAAUAUAAAACCUAAAACAUAUUAAAAGAAACUAUAACAACAAAAACAACAAGAAAGAAACCCUCAAACAAAUGGCUAGGGUCUCCAUGCCGUGUUAGGGCUCUCCUAUCCUCCCUAAUAUUCUUCAGCAUCCACUCCUUCUAUGCCAUCAUCAUCACGAAAGACAUUGAAGCUUCCCUCCCCCCACUAAGAGUCAGGCCUGUACUUAGGCCAAUGAACAUGUGCCUCAAACUAUGUGCCCAUCUUAAGAGAAUCCUCGAGGAAAUCAAGGACACUAAGAGAUAGAUAAUACAUACAGUCCAUGAGGGAAACCUAGCAUUGCCAGAUCACAUGGUAGCCUCAAAUGCAUCAAGGGAUUCACGUGUAAUCUUGGUCAUGAUGUUUUUGAGGCUCCAGUCCUCCUUGUGUGAACAUCCCCCUGCAUACACUUAGACACAACUAGGCUAAAAUCACAAAUUAGCCCAAGUGAAAGUGAAAAUCUAUUUACAAAAAAAGAGUUAGUUCUAUAUGCAAAAUCAACUCUACAUAUGUUAGAAACCUCACAAAAGUCUAGUAUUGACACGAGUCCCUAGUAACGGUGCCAAAAACUCGUUGGAUUGUUUGACAUGUGCAUCGAAUCGUCUCAAGUAAUAAACCAUGGUAAGACCAGGUAUCGUUUUCUCAAGAGACUCGUAUUACUAGAGAAUGGUGCGACUAACAACUCAUAUAGACUCAAUAGAACUACAUUCAUUUACAAGCAUGUGCAGAAAGAUAAAUUUACACAUAAUUACAUGGUUGGACUUUGGUAUUGAAGGCACAUAGAUAUGGCAUAGACUAUAAAUAAUAUGAAAUGACAUUUUUAAGGUUAGUUUUCUCCUAUUUCACUCUUGUGCUUACCAAAUUUCAUCUAACAAGCAAACCUGCAUUAAAGAGCUAGGAUCUUAAGACAUCAUGUGAAUCAUCUUCCAUCCUUAGAAUCAAUGACCACAAAGACUUUUGUUUUAGUUCUAGGUUUCAUCUUACGUCUCCAUAAUCCAUGAAACCCCAAAAUAAAGUGAUGAACAUUCCUAUUACAUGCAAGCUUUAAGAUUGGAAACAAGAAUAAUAGAAUUUGAUAGAAAAGGAAUAUAUAAAUACGAAUCAAUAACGCAUUACACAAGAAUUCAUUGGCUUUAUCGAUGGCCUAUCGACGGUUAAAAAGCCCUCGGUAAUUUGCUUGUCGCUAAAUUUUGUCCUUCGGUAAUUACCGAGGGCCAUAAGCCUUGAUAAUUACCGAGGGCUAUAAGCCGUCGGUAAUUACCGAGGGUCAUAAGCCUUCGGUAAUUACCGAGGGUCAAAAGCCUUCGAUAAUUUCUGAAGGGCGGAAGCCCUCGAAAAUUUCCGAAGGGCGGAAGCCUUCGGUAAAGCCUUCGGUAACAGUACGAAAAAAAAAAGUCAUAUUUGUUUUUGUUAUCCAACCACAAAUACCUGCAUAACAAAGUUCACAACAACACAGAUAGACCUGCAUACAACUUUCAAACCACAGACAGAGCUGCCUUUUGUGCAUCUGAAAACCAUCCAAUAUUAUCAUUGAUGAAAAAAGAUAAUGUACUAAAAUGAUCUGUAAAGUUCAAUAUGAAAUGUGAAACAUAAAACAAUAUCAUCUAUUUCUAAGCAAAGAUAAUGUACUAAAAUCAUGAUGUACUAAAAUUCAAAUGUACUAAAAUUCAAAUGGACUAACAUUAGUACUUUCUAACACCUAUGAUCAAUAACAAAAUAAAACUAAAAUACUACAUAGUCUUCAGAAUCAUCUUCAUCGUCCUGUUGAUCCUCUAUAGAUGGCUGGACUGGUGUGGGCUGGACUGAUGUGGGCUGGAUUGAUGUGGGCUGCUGAGGGACGGCGGGUGACAGGAAGGGUCGUGACUGGGUUGGAGGGACGGUCGAAGGAGUGUCUGAAGUUUGAGGCAGCGCUCUCAUGACCAGGGACUUGAAGUUUGUAAAUUCUUCUUUCAAUGCACAGUUUUCCUGGUCACGUUGCUCUAGUAGCUGUGUCAAGCGCUGGAUGGCCUCAUCAGCAGAAGGGGUGGAAGAAGAAGAAGAAGAAACAUCAACCUCCAAAGUGGCUUGUAGUGGCAUCUCAUGUUUUCUUGAGUUCCUUCCAAUCCUCAAACAUUUAUCACAACUUUUCGCAUGACCUUAAGCAUCCUUUAAAAUUAUCUCAUGCCACAAGGAUGUCAUUAUCAUCAUAUUCCUUUUUAAAGUGAGCAAAAAACCAAGCAUUUUGCAACCCAUCUNAGUUAAUUAUUUUUUGCCUCUAUGUAAACUUAUUACGAAACCCUUCCACUUUAAUAAACAACAAUGUUGUUGUUGCCACACAUUACAUACACUCCUUAUUCCUCUUUCUACCAUAUANAUUCUAAAUCAUGUUAGAAUACAACUACAAUUUUUAGAAGUUCCUUCUACUUUGACUACUCAUAAAAGUUCGCAACCCUUAAGUUCAAAAUACUUUUUUAAAGUCCUUUGAGAUGGAUUAGUUUAUGCACAUGCAAGAGAUUGUCAAUAAUGCUCUCUAUCGCCAUGUUGAACAACAAUAAGUAAACCAUAGUCUUGAUGAANAGUCUCCCAAUGAAGCCACUAAACAAUAAGCAAAAUUUCCUUGUGAGAGUAGCUUUGAUGUGGUAUCAAGGUCGAUCUCUCUCUAAGCUUAAGGUAAUUUGGCCUCAAGGUCGAGCUCUCUUUAAGCUUAAAGUAGUUAGGCCACAAAGUUAAGCUCUCUCUUAGCUUAAGGUAAUUUGGUCUCAGGGUCGAGCUCCUUGAUGGCUAUUGGGACCGAUCUAUUUGGAAAUGAUGAUCAUAUAGGUCGAGCUCCUUGAUGGCCAUUUAAGCUGAGCUCCUUGAUGACNAUUGAGGCCAAACUCUUUAGGCGAUGGCACCAUGGUGACUGAGUUCCAUGAUGGCUACAAAGGUCGAGCUCUUCAAGUAAGUUGGUUAUCUGACCGAGCUUUUUGAUGGCUAUAAGGCUGAGCUCUUUACCGUGAAGGUUGUUGGCUGAGCACCUUAAUGGCUACUUUGGACGAGCUUUUUAGACAAGUUGACCAUUUGACCAAGCUACUUUGAUGACCAUUAGGGUNGAGCUCUCUGGACAAGUUUUGGCCAAGCUCUAUGAUGGCUACAAAGCCAAGCUCUUUAUCAUGAAGACUGUCUAGUCGAGCUUCUUGAUGGCUAAUAUGGCCGAACUCUUCAAAUAGGUUAGCGGCGGCCAAGCUCUUUGAUGGCCAUUGGGGCUAAGCUCUCAAGACAGGUUGACCAUUCGACCAANCUCCUUGAUGGCUAUAUUUGGCCAAGCUUCCUUGAUGGCUAAUCUAGUCGAGCUCUUUAGAUCGGUUGGUCAUUCAGGCAUGCUCCUUGAUAAUUGUUGAGGUUGAGCUCUUUAGACGACGACCUUGUUCUUGAGGCUUUGUAAUUGAAUACCUGAUUUUUUAGCAGACCGAGUUCUUGUCACAAUUGUUGUAGUCAUUUUGUGGUUGGCCNUGAAACCCCUACCCUUGAUGUUCUUUUUAUUGGACUUGUAUUUUCUAUUGUUGGCCAUGCUUCCUUGUCGGGUUAUAUUAUUUGUUGGUUGUGUACUAUGUUACGUGAGGUUGAGCUCUAUUGUGUGCUAAUUAUGCUUUGAGGUCAGAUUGUGUUCUUUGGUGAUUGGGCUCUACUGCCGAGGUGUGUUCUCUAGUGGGUGGGCUUCAUUGUUGAAGUAUGAUUUAUGGUGGUCAGGCUCUACUAGUGGAUUUUGUUCUCUAGUUUGGAAGGAGCUCNAUUGGAAAAAGCUCAAACUAUAUAAGCUCAACUAGAAAAAGCUCGAACUAUAGGAGGUCGACCUAAGAAAGACCACCUAGACGAGGUUGGNGAGGAGAGCUCGGUUAAAGAAGCUCAGCUUGUUUAGCUUGGUUGAAAGAGCUCGCCCUAGAGGAGGUCGACCUUAGCGGGAUGGCUNGAAGGAGGUUAGCNAGGGGAANUCGACUUGUAAACGUCAACUGAAGGAGCUUGGCCUGAUGGAGGUCGGCUUGGCAUGAUAGAGGUCGGUAUGUAUGUGCAUACAGUACAAUAGCUUUGAAACUUUCACAAUUACGUAACCCUUUUACUGUCCAUGAGGGACUACCAUGUGAUAAUUCCAUAUUUCUCUGAAGAAUAAGUUUUUUGUGAGGUUUGGUUGCUUGAUGUGGUUCAAAGUGCGAAUUUGCGUUUCAUGGUUCAUUGUGUUUUUGGGUUUGCUAGCCUAGCANAAUGGUGGUUCUUCCUGGUUUGCUUCUUAUUUGUUGGAGAUAGGGUUUUGCGACUUGGGAUUUUGUGUUGUCUCACAGUGGACGAGGAUGGAACUUUAGUGGAUUCUGAUGACUCGUGAUUUAAACUAGUUUUUCUAUAGGUGAGGUUUGAAGCUGACAUGAUUUAGGGAUUUAAUGGGAGGGNNUUUUGGUUUUCACAUGGUGAAGCGCGACUUGGGAGAUAGUUCCGCAGAUGGUGGUUGAUGGAGGCAGAUCUGUGGGUUGUGGUCGUGAUAAACAAUGGUUGAUAGUAAUGAAAUUUUUUAAUUUGGGGUUGUUCGAAAGAACAAUGGUGAAGCGUGACUUGGCUGAUAGUUGUGCAGAUNACGUAGUUGCGUGAAUAGGUAGUGUGAUGAAGGAGGUGCACAUUGAUUUUUGUGUUGUGGUUGAUGAUGGACAUUACCGACGCAAUUCUAACAUGGUUAAAGAUGAAGUGGAUCAUGUUGUUCAUGAUGCNGUGGUGCUAUGGCCACCAGAGGUUGAAGGAUCAAAGGUUGAAUGAUAUGGAGCANAGGGUAGAUAAUGUAGAACAGGAAAUCAAGGGGUGGCCAUGGUUGAUGGUGGUGGGAUUGCACUCUCCAUGGAAGGACCUUGUGUGUGUUUUGUGAGGAAUAAGGGGAUGAUGCAUUCACGCUUCCAAUGUCACCAUUAUCAUCAAGCGGAAGGGCGAUGCUUUAGUUAGGAACUAUGUUUAAUUAUUAACACUUGUGCAUUUGUUUUAGUGAUGGAUAUGGUUGAGCCUGACAAGAUGGUUCCUCCUUAUUNAGGUUGGUCAGAGCUCCUCAAUCUUUAUGGUGUUGUAUGAGCAUUUUUUUAUGACAUAUAGUCGUUGUGUGUGGUGAUCAUGAGAAUGUGAGGUUNGGGAUAUGCUUUACUUGAGCUCUAUGGUAGAUGUCAAUGUUUUUACUUAGAUCUUGAGCGUAAACUCUGCAGAUAAGUGACAAGAUCCUAAUGAUCAUUUGAUCGUCCCUUUCGUUUAGAUAUGGUUUCCUCAUUUAUGAGAGGAGAAGAUGUUGUGGACAUAUAUUCUUAUUAUAAUAAUACUUAUCUAGGAGAAUAAUAACAAUCUAAUAAAUAAAAACAGAAAGAUAAAUAAUAANCAAUACGUCAAACUACUUAGAUUUAAUUAUAAUAUAAAAAUAUUAUAAAAACUUUGAGGUGCUUCAUAUUAAAGUGUCAUAUUGGAAUAUAUAUAUAUAUAUAUAUAUAUAUAUAUAUAUAUAUAUAUAUAUAUAUAUAUAUAUAUAUAUAUAUAUAUAUAUAUAUAUAUAUAUAUCAUGGAUGGAAAAUAAUUUAACACUUAUUCUUCAUAUCCAAAAAUAAAUUAUUAAUUAUUAAUUUUUUUCAAAUUCUAAUUAACUUUUUCAUUUAUUAAUUAUUAGCUUUAACUAUGUAAACUGAUUUGUCUUUUAACUACGUAGAAAGAAGUUUUUUUUUUUUUUAAGAGAAAGUGUUAGUUUUGAUAUCUUGGUGUAAAGUUUGGUGUAAAACAUGAAUNUUCGUAUUGUUCAUUAGAGUAACAACUUACUAGUCUCUUGCAUUUUCAAAGACGAAUUUAACCAUUUACUCUUGAAUGAUAGCAAUAUGUGCUAUGCAAUACAAAUUUUCUUGUAAGGUUGCAAUUAUAAAACAGAGGGUCCAAUGUAGUUUUUAAAGCAAAUACUAACAAUUGUCUUAGCUGGUAUUUAGCUUUCCUUUAUAGAGAAUAUAUAUAUAUAUAUAUAUAUAUAUAUAUAUAUAUAUAUAUAUAUAUAUAUAUAUAUAUAUAUAUAUAUAUAUAUAUAUUCACAUGCUUUUUUGUUUAUGUAAACUGUGCUUGCUUGGUUGAAUAUAUGCGAAUGUAUUUGUGAAUUUUAAUUAAUAAAAUAUCCUUUAUUUUUCUUUAUUCGUCACUAAACUAAUCUAUUUUCACUAUAUGUUUUGUUGGCAAAGAGUUGUAGUCGAGAAGGGUACAAGAAAAAAAGGUUGGAAGUAUGGAAAUUGUGUCGAAAAUAUUUGAUCCAGCAAUUGAGUUUGUGCGGGAUCAUGGUAUUAGGCAGGUGACUUACAUUUUUUGUUACACGAAAAAUUUUAAGGAACUACAGAAGAAAGUUAAGCGUCUAAGAGAAAUAAAAGAGAGGUUAGUUCGUCAACACGAUGAAGCUAAAAGAAAGGGUGACAUAGUUGAAGGUACGGUUGAAGAAUGGUUUGUGGAAGUGGGUGAAUUUGAGAGUAGUGUUGAAAACUACAGCAAAAAUGCAGGUCACAAGAAGACAAGGGGUCUCUAUUAUUUGUUUCCUUACUAUAGGCACAAACUGGGCAGACAAGCAAAGAAGAUGGAAAUAGAGGCUUUGAGGCUAANAGAUGAGUCCCCCAAGAUUGACGAAGUUUCCCAUGCAGAGAAAGUAACAUCUUUUGACCUCACUUCAUCUAAUUCUGGCUACAUUGAAUUUAAUAGUAGAAAAUCCAUUAUGGAAGACAUAAUGAAAAAACUUAAAGAUCCCAAUAUGAAAAUUAUUGGACUCCAUGGAUCACAAGGGAUGGGUAAGAGCACUUUAAUAAAAAAAAUUGCUAAUAAAGCUAAAUAUGAGGGGUUAUUUGAUAGGGUGGCUGAAAUAGAUGUAACUAUCAAUCUCAAUCCACUUAAUAUUCAGGAAGACAUUGCAUAUGUGCUAGGAUUGCAACUAACAGGGGAAAGUGAAAAUGUAAGAGCUGAUUAUCUAAGGAGAUGGUUAAAGAUAGAAAAUGUGAGCAUCCUUAUAAUCUUGGAUAACCUUCAUGAAAGAUUAGACUUGAAUAGGUUAGGGAUUCCGAUUGAUGAUGAUUAUGACUUAAGAAAGAAGAAUGAGUUAAGCAUAAGGUCAAGUAAAAAAGAUAAAGACGACAACACACAGGGUACCGACGAAAAAGUGCUAAAAAAAGCAAAUUUUCUUGCUGAUUAUAAGGGAUGCAAAGUUUUGCUUUCUUCACGUUAUAAGAAAGUAUUUCCUAAUGAGGUUGAUGUUGAGUCCAAUUUUUGUUUAAAGGAAUUAGAUGGCAAUGAUUCAUUGAAGCUAUUUGAGAAGGUGACUGGAGGAGGUAAUAAAAUGUCUAUGCCUAAAGAAGAAAUCCAAAACUAUUGUGCAGGGUUGCCCAUGAGAAUAGUUACAUUUGCAAUGGCAUUUAAAAACUGGAGUGAGUCAGAAAGUGAACCUACACUGGAAAAAUUUAAAAAGCAAGGUCUGGUUAAAUGGAAGGAGUCUUCGGAGAUUCCUAAUAAAAUAAAAUAUGACCUUCCAGAAAAUAAGGAACACAAGUUCAUUUUCUUGCUUUGUGCUCAAAUGGGCCACCUACCCCUGGUUAACGACUUGGUGAAAUAUUGCUUUGGAUUAGGUAUACUUGAAGGGGUCUCUUCCCUUAGUGCAGCUCGGAAAAAAAUAAAUGAAGUGAUGCAAGAGUUGAAAAACUUGAGUUUGGUGUCAUACGAAAAUCCUAAUAUUCAUUUCAGUAUGCCUCAUAUGGUUCGAGAUGAUGCUAUAAGUAAUGCCCUCAUGGAUGACAAUGUUUUUGCUAUCAGAGAUGGAAAACUAGAUUAUUGGCCCAAUCUUGAAAAAUGCAUUUUUAUUUCUAUAUGCAAUAGUGACAUUACAUAUCGGUUUCCUCAAGUCAUAAAUUGUCCACAACUUAAAUUCUUGCAAAUAGAAACUAACAAUCCAUCUUUAAAAAUACCUGAGAGGUUUUUUAGCAACAUGAGAAACUUGUUAGUUUUAAUAUUGAGAGGUUUUCAUCUAUCAUGCUUACCUUAUUCAAUUGAAGACCUAUUGAACCUCAGAAUGCUUUGUUUGGAGCGGUGCACUUUGNNUUGCAAUUUAUCGGUAUUGAGAAAGUUCAAAGACCUAAGUAUUCUCAGUUUUUCUGGAUCUCAACUUAAAAAUUUGCCNGUUGAGUUACAAUACUCGGAUANGUUGCNAUUGCUAGACAUCANUGAUUGUUUUGAAUUGGAGAUUAUUCCACCUAAUCUUAUAUCUAAUUUGACAUGNUUGGAAGAGCUAUAUAUNGGAAAAAGCUUGAUGAAAAUGUUNGUGGAAAGAGAGGAAAGCAAAGGUCAAAAUGCAUUUCUUUCUGAGCUAANAAAUUUACAUGAGUUGAAAGUGGUGGACUUAAGCAUCCCGUGUGUUUCAAUUUUACCCAAUCACUUAUUCUUUGACAGGUUAAAAUAUUACAAGAUUGAAAUUGGGGACUUCGAAAUGUUUUCUAUUGGAGAAUUUAAAAUGCCCAAUAAGUAUGAAGAACUCAAAGUAUUUGCAUUGCAACUGAAGGACGACACUGAUAUCCACUCCCAUAAAGGCAUAAAAUUGUUAUUUAAAACAGCACAAAGUUUGUUGUUGGGAAAGGUAGGUGUUCAAAAUGUUGUUAACGAGUUGAAUAUAGACGGAUUUCAGGAUUUGAAACACUUAUCCAUCAUAAAUAACAAUGACAUCAAAUAUAUCAACUCAACAUGUUUGUCUAAUAGUGUGAACAUUUUUCCCAAUUUGGAAUCUCUAUGCCUCUACAAUAUGAUGAACUUAAAGAUGAUAUGUGGCAGUUCAAUUACACUUGAAUCAUUUGCCAAAUUAAAAACCAUCAAGGUUAAGAUGUGUUAUCAAUUGGAAAAUCUCUUCUCCUUCUAUGCAAUUAAAAUCUCUACUAGCACAAGAUCAAGUGAGAUUAAUGAAUGUAAUUCUUACAAGAAGAAAGUUUUGGCUAGUUUAGAAAUGAUUGAGGUUUGUGAAUGUGAAUCUUUGAAGGAGAUCCUUCAAAUACCGAUGGAUUGUGAUAAGGUUAAGUUUCUCAGAUUACACACUUUGACACUCCAAUCAUUGCCAUCACUCACUUCUUUUAAUACCAAAGUCAAGAGAUCUUGUUGGCCACAUUCGAUAGAUGCUCAAACUACAAAUAGGGAUCACACAGAAAUUUCUACUGAACAAGAUGGCCAUAGUGACAAUGCGCCUCCUCUUUUUGGUGAACUGGUAUGACAUUACAUAUUUUUCAUAUUUAUUUAAAUAAUUAGCUCAUUUGUUGUAAAAAUAUUAAUUGUGUAUGCGUUUCCAGGUUGAAGUUCCAAACUUACAGAACUUGAAUUUAUCCUCACUCAACAUCCCUAAGAUAUGGAGCGACCAACACUUGUCAAGUUUCUACUUUCAAAACUUGAUAAGGUUAGUUGUGAAAGAUUGUGAUAAAUUGACACAUCUAUGUUCAUUAUCUAUGGCUAGCAGUUUGAAGAGGUUGAAAAGCCUCGUCNUAAGUGGAUGUCGUAUUAUGGAAAAUAUUUUUGAGAUUGAAGGAAUUAGUGCAAACAAGGUAUGUAUUGGUAUAAAUACUUUUUUGUUUAUCUUUUAUUUAUCUGUAAUAAUUGUUUGUUUUCAUUAAACUGAAGGUUUGUGUCUUUCCUAAGCUGGAGGAAAUCCACCUUAGCAACAUGAAGAGGUUAACAAAUAUUUGGCAAACUGAAGUCAGUGUUGAUUCCUUUUGUAGUCUCAUUUCCGUAAGCAUCGAAGAAUGUAAUGAAUUGGACAAGAUUUUUCCAAGUCACAUGGAGGGAUGGUUUGAAAGUUUGAUUAACUUAAAAGUUUCUAAUUGUAAGUCCGUGAAAGAGAUUUUUGAAGUUACUGAUUAUGAAGAAAUAGAUGAAUAUGGUGGGAUAGACACAAAUUUGCAGGUUAUUCUUCUUGAAGACCUCCCGAAAUUGAAGGAAUUGUGGAGCAAAGAUCCACACGGAAUUCUCAAUUUUAAAAACCUUCGGACUAUAGAUGUAAGUAAUUGUGAAGAACUGAGGAAUUUGUUUCCAGCUUCUAUGGCAAAAGAUGUAUCAAAGCUUGAACGUAUGUCAAUAUUGCAUUGUGAGAGGAUGGUGGAAAUUGUUUCAAGUAAAGAUGCAUCAGAAGCUAACAAUGAUCCAUUAGAGUUUCCUGAACUAAGCUAUGUGAGAUUAUAUGAGCUUCAAAACAUCAGGCAAUUCUACAAGGGGAGACAUCCAAUAAAGUGUCCAAAGUUGAAGGAAUUAAGCAUAGGGAAGUGUAUGAAGCUUAAAACAUUUUCACAAGAAACAAGUGAUGAAAAGUUUGUUUUCUCAGCUGAAGUGGUAAGCAUUAUUCCAACUUUAUCAGAGUAAAGUUUAAUCAAAUUAUAUGCCUUAUAAAGAAUAAAAGAAAUAUAAUUAAAAAUAUGUAAAAGAAUUGGAAAAAUGAGAACCAAAAUAAAAUUAACGAUUGUGUAAAGUUGAGAAAAAUAAAAGUAAAUUAAAUCAAAAAUUGAGUUUUAGGAUUAUUUAGUUUUAAAAAGAAAUAAAGGAUUGCAAUUUUAUUUUUAUUGUUAAAUUUUAUUCAUAUUAUUAUUUUCAGUUUUAGUGCUAUUAUUGUAAUAAUAAAAAGUUUGUAGUUUGUAUAAAAAUGAUAAGUAAUUUUUAGUGAAGGCUUUAUGGUCAAAUCUAUAUAUUUACACAAGUGUUUUGUAUAGAAUAUUAUAUAUAUAUAUAUAUAUAUAUAUAUAUAUAUAUAUAUAUAUAUUAUUAGUUUUUAAUUAAUAUUAGUUGAAAUUCUGAAUGAUAAUAAAAAUUGUUUUAAGUAAAUAGCAUAGCUUCAAAGGAAACUAUAACAUUAUUAAAAACGAGGUUUAACUAAUAGUGUUUUAUUUUCCACAUACAGGAUCAAUGUUUGGGAUUUCUAAUCUCACAUUUUUCUUUAAAAAUCUUACAUUAAUACAUCCAUGACAUUAAUAUGAAGUUCUUUAAAGCAUGAUGUUCCUAUUUUAGCUCAUUAUUUACGUUUUUUAAAUUGACAAACAACCAAAGAAGAACAAAAACCAUACAUAAUAAUCAUAAACAGUUACAAAGCAAACAAAAAUGCCUAAAAUCAAAGAAAUUUGAAUGUAGGCAUUUAAUUCAUUCUUCUUACUAUUUAUUUUUAAUGUUUAGGUAUUUCCGAAGUUGGAGUAUAUGGAAAUUGACUUCCUGGAAGCCCAGAAUUUGUUAUCCAAGUACGAAAUGCACAAUUUAAAAGAGCUUAUUAUCUUGAGAGCAAUCGAGUGCCCAGAUCUUUUCUACCCCUUUCUCUACAAAAUGCCAAAUCUAGAAAAGUUAAAAUUGACUUUCGGAUAUUAUUCAUCGUAUUACAGAUUGCAAAGUAGAAACAUUGGGCAGCAUGACAGAUUGGGAGUCGUAUUACAGUUGAAGCAAUUGAUUAUUCGUUCCUCAGAUAUAAAUGAUAUAGGAUUUGACCGGGACCAAGUUCUACAGAGAUUGGAGCUUUUGAGCUUGAAAGAAUGCAACGAAUUGAAGACUUUAGCUCCUUCUUCUGUAUCGUUGAGUUACUUGACAUGUUUGAAAGUAAAAAAUUGUGAGGGAUUAAGGAAUUUAAUGGCAUCCUCCACGGCCAAAAGCAUGGUUCGACUUAAGACUAUGAAGGUAAUCAACUGUGAUAAGGUAAAGGAAAUAGUAAGCCAUGAGGAAAAUGAAGAAGACAAAGUGAUGAAAAUUGUAUUCAGCAAAUUGAUAUCUAUAGAACUUGUGGGGUUAAACAAACUCGUAAGCUUUUGCAGUUACAAGGACUGUGAAUUUGAAUUUCCAUCACUGGAAAUAUUGAUCGUAAGAGAGUGCCCAAAGAUGGAAAAAUUCAGUGAAAAAAGAGCAAUAGCACCAAAGUUGAAAGAUGUAUUUGGUGUGGAAGGAGAUGAAAAAGCCAAAUGGCAGUGGAGAGGUGACUUGAAUGCUACCAUACAGAAGGUUUUCAAUGAUAAGGUAAUUACUUUUUCCUUUAUUUAAUACUAUUUCUCCUAAUUUUAUGAAUUUUUCUUUUAAAGUGCAAAAGAAUAAAAAAUCAUGAUUGGAAUUUACAAAUACAUGUUUCUGCCAUAGAAGCUUUAAAUAGCAAGAAUGUUGAGUUUUGUUUUGGAUUACUUUUUUAAGUCCUUUUAUCUAUUUAUUUAAUUAGAUUUGGUUCUUUUAUUUUUAAAGAAUUUAAUAUAAUAUAAUAUUAAUUUUCUGAAAAAGCAUUCAAUGUUGUAAAUUUCCAUUUAAACAAAAAUACACCCUGAACAACUAACAACGAACGUGUAUUUUCACAGAUACUAAGUGAUUUUCACACAUGACAGCUACAAAUUUUCAUUAUAAUUAAUUAAUAGAUUUUAUAUAUUGAAAUUUAUGUUUUUAAAAUAAAAUUAACACAAUAUGACACGGUAAUUUGUUAGUUAUUUUAAAUUUAUAAUAAUUAAAAAUAAUUGUAAUAUAACACUUUUAAUAACUUUACUUAUAUAUAUAUAUAUAUAUAUAUAUAUUUAUUUAUUUAUUUAUCACUAUGAGUAUUUUAAAUUAAUAAACUUAUUUUCGGAUAUAUAAGUAUUUUAAUAAAUUUAUAGUAUUACAUUAUACUUGUCUAUAAAAAAGAAAUAGUAUUACUAUUUAUUUUAUUUUAUAUCAAUAGUUUUGUUAGAGUAAUGACUAUAUUAAAUUUAAUAAAUAUCAAAAAAAUAUUUACAUAGUAAUUUGAUAAUUUUAAUUUAUACACCAUUUUUACUGUUAUUAGUACUUAUAAAUAUAUUAUAAAUGAAAAAAUAUAUAUUUAGUUAUUUUAAAGUUAUAAUUUUAAAAUUAAAAAAUACUGAAUUAUUGAAGUGAGAAUUAUAGUAAAAGCUUGUAAAUUUGUUUUUUGUUUAACUUUUUGGGGGAUAAAAAAAGUAUGAUUAUAGUAAAAGGUAGAGAAGUAAUUUAAUAAUUUGUCUGAUUUACAGGUCAGUUUCGCAUAUACUGAAGAACUGUGGUGGCUUGAUUAUAAUAUUAUAAAGCAACUAUGGAAUAACACUCAUUGGGGGCAGCAAAAUAACUUUGGGUAUUUGAAAAGGUUGAGCUUAUCGGGAUGUGAUACUCUAACGCGUAUAAUUCCAUAUCAUUUGCUUUCUUGCUUUCACAAUUUGGAAGAGUUAUAUGUAUUCAGUUGCAGUAAUGCAGAGGUGAUAUUUAAUAUGAAUGGUGAGAACAGGGUGAUGACAAAAUCUUCCGGAAUAUUCCGUCUGAAAAUAUUGUCUUUAAGUUUCCUACCAGCACUGGAGCAGGUAUGGGACAAGGAUCCGGAGGGAGUCAUAGGCCUUCAACUGCUAAGGGAAAUGCGUGUUGAAGAUUGUAAGAGUCUUAAAAGUUUGUUUCCAGCAUCGGUAGCCAAACAUCUUACGAGACUUGAUGUACUUAUAGUAACAGACUGUGAGGAAUUGGUAGAAAUCUUUGAGAAGGAUGAAAAGGAUGAGAAAGGAGAAGGAGCAACACAUGAGUCUGUGUUUCCUCGUCUCACCACAUUGACGCUGAAGCAAUUGCCACUCCUCAAAUACUCUAUACAAUGCUCCAAACAACAGGUAAUUCUCAAAACUUUGCCUUUAUGUGACAUUCAAAAGUUAUUUAAAUAACAGAGUCAGUACAUAUAUAAACAUAUAUAAGAACGACAAACAAAUACGCCCAUAGUUUUAUGCCUGCUGCACUCGGAAAAUUCACUCCCCAAAUUUGGAAAAGGUAUUCAACGGGGAAAUUUUCACUCAUGACAAUAUACCAUGAACUUGCUUUUCAAGUUUUGGCAUAAUCCAAGAUGCAAGAAGCAAGGAUCAUAACUUUUUUGAGCUGCUUGGGGAAUUUGCGAACUCAAUUUUAUGCUCUCUUACUCUUCUUCUUUCUCUCUCCACAAUCCUCUAAAAAUUAACAUUCUCUUAACAUUAAAGACUCUUUUCCAUUUGAAUUAAGUGAGACAAGAUGAACAGACAAAUUUUAGAUAUAAAAGUGGGAGUUCAACCCAACAAUAAUAACAUUUUUUAUUUAGCAUUGUGCUACAUCACCCAUUUUAAACCUCUUUAGUUUCUCUUUUAAUUCUUAUCAUCACACCUUGAAAUGAAAUUAUUCCUUCAAUUUCUUUCCAUAAUACGGUUACUAUUAAUUAAUCAAGAAAUUUCCUUUUUAUUCUGUACAAUCUGUUAGUAUCUAUAAUCCCAAUUUUGUAGGUCCCCGUUUUUAUUUUAUUUUAUUAUUAUGAUUUCUUAGUUUAUUUUUCUAUUUUCAUGUUGUAAUAAUUAUUAUGGUAAUCAUGAAAAGAUAUUCCCAAAAGUUAACAUUUCAAACAAAUUCCGAUGUGCGACAAAAACAAAUUUCUAAAUCUAACUUCUUUUGCAGGAGAGUAUAUCAAAUUUGCGUUUUAAAGAAAUACAAGAGUUAUGUCUUGGCUCACGGCCCAUCCCAAACUCCUGCUUCGGUCUCUUAGAUUCUUUGAUUGUGGAUGGGUGCAAGUUUUCAUCAGAUGUACUUCUACCAUUCACUUUACUUUCUUUCUUAGCUAAAUUGGAGUCGUUGGAAGUUAGAAAGUGUGAUUCUGUCAAAGUUAUUUUUGAUGUCAAAUGUACAACACAAGACAUGAUCACUUUUCCUCUAAAGAAAUUGACUUUAUCCCAGCUACCAGAUCUGAAGAAUGUUUGGAAUGAAGAUCCUCAUGGAAUUCUAAGCAUGCACCAUCUACAAGAACUACAUGUUAAGGAAUGUAAAGGCCUUAAAAGUAUGUUUCCAGCCUCAGGGGCCAAAGAAGUACUACUACCAUUCAAUUUACUUCCUUUCUUACCUAACUUGGUAACGUUGGAAGUUCGAAACUGCGAUGGUGUCAAAGCCAUUUUUGAUGUCAAAUGUACAACACAAGGCAGAGAUAUGACAUCUCAGCCUUUUUCUUUGAAGAAUUUGACUUUAUCGAAGCUGCCAAAGCUGAAAACUAUUUGGAAUAAUCCUCAUGGAAUUCUGAACAUGCGGCAUCUACGACAAGUACAUGUUGAGGAAUGUAAAUGCCUUAAAAGCGUGUUUCCGGCAUCAGUAGCCGAAGAUCUUUUGGAACUCGAAAGUCUAGUGGUAUUACACUGUGAGAGAUUGAUGACUAUUGUGGUAGAAGACAAUACAAAUGGAAGUCAAGAGUUUACGGUACCCUGUCCCUGUGUGAGAUCAGUGAAACUACGGGGCUUGCCCAAGUUCAAGUAUUUUUACUACUACUCUCUCACGUCUCACACUUACAAGUGUCUAGAAUCAAAUACCGAGAAUCAAGUCGAUACUGAGAAGGUACGUCCUACUAUUUUACCACUUCCUAUUGAUGCACAAUAUGUUAUCAGUUUCUUUAAUAGUUUACCGUUGUUCAAUAUGAAUAGUACAAAAUACUCUUUAAAAAUAUGUAACUUUCAAGUAUAAAUCUUCUAUCUUCUUUCCCUGUUAACCCCACUUUUGUUUUACAAAAGAACAUGUAUUUGUAUAGGAUAACCAUUGUAACAGAGUCUAUUUAUUUAUUGGGAAGUUUCAAUAAUUGAGUAGUUAAGUUCUUAAAAAGUAAAAAUGGAUAUUUAAAAUUAAAUUUGAAGGCAACUGCACAAGUAUCUCUCUUUCCUAAAAUUACAAAAGCUAAUUCGAAAACAUAGGUAAAAAAAGGAGUAGUGAUUAAUAUAUUAUAUUAUUAUAAUUUAUGAAAAAAAAAUAAUAUACGUAUUAGAUUAGUUAAAAUUAGUAUAUUAUAUUUUAAUAGAAAAUUAAACCGUAAUAUUUUAUUAAAACCAGUUAAAUAAUAAGGUUCAAAAAACAUGUAUAUGUAUAAAUAAGUAAAAGAAUACAAAUUAUGAUAGCAACAAAAUAAGAUGUGAGAUCAAUUCCAUAGAUUAUUAGAGACAAUAUUGUACUUUAUCAUCAUUAAAACAAAAUAAUGGUGCUUCAACCUUAUAAACAAUCUUCUACUAUCAUAGGUAAUAUGUCACUGAUUACCUAUCAAGCAUCUUUCAACAUAAUUUCCCUAACUUGCUUUUUCUUGUGUGUGUGUGUUUUUGUUAUUACAGAGUCUGAUACUUGCCAAAUAUGAAAUGGAGAAGAUUUCCGGUGAAGAAUUUCACAGAAAGCUCUUAAACAACUUAAAAGUUCUUACUCUCUCUUUUGGAUGGGAUGUACUUCAAUAUAAAAUUCUAGAACAGGUUCCCAAUAUUGAGAAGCUUGUGGUGUGUUAUGGUUCUUUCAAAGAGAUGUUUUGUCUUGAAAGUCCUAAUAAUGUGAAUUAUAGUGGACUUCUAUUACAACUGAAAACAUUACGAUUGGAGUCCCUUGAAGAGUUGGUUUCCAUUGGGUUAGAAAAAUCUUGGACUGAAUCCUUUGUCAAAAAUCUAGAAACUUUUGAAGUCAUUAGUUGCUCAAAAUUGAAAAACGUGGUAGAAAGCAAAGUGUUUCUCUCCAAUUUGACAUAUUUGAAACUUGAAAGUUGUAAUAGCUUGCAAUAUUUGUUCACAUCCUCAACGGCCAAAACUUUGGGUCACCUUAAAGCAAUGGAGAUAGAUAGUUGUUACUCAAUUGAAGAGAUAGUGUUUAAGGAGGACGGGGAGAAAUCAGAUGAGGAGGAGAUAAUAUUUCCGAAACUCAUUCGUUUGAAUCUUUACUAUUUACGGAAACUCCAAUUGUUCUAUAGAGGGAGAUUAUGUUUCCCAUCAUUAGAGGAAUUGUUAGUACCAGGUUGCACCGAAAUGGAAACUUUCUGUAUUGGUACGAUAACAGCAUGCAAGUUGUCUCAAGUUAAACUUGGACGAUAUUCACAAGCUAUUCCUAUAGAAGAUGAUCUCAACCAGACUAUGCGGAAGGAAUUUCUAAAAGAGGUAUAUGUUUAAAUUUAAUAUUCUUAAUUCAACAUGGUUAUGAUUCUUUUCGUUACAAUACCCAACCUCAGUAUGAAUUGAAUUUAUACUCUGCCUUCCAAGAUAAGUAUGUUAAAUUAUUUUUAUUUUACUUUUUAACUAAAUAGUAUACAACCAAACUAUUCUUUCAUUACUACUUAUAUAAAAAAAUUAAAUAUAAGAAAAAUAUAAAAAUAUUUUCUUCAUAAACUAAAAUUAACUAACAUUAGUUGAAAAAGUAUAAUAAUUUCUUUUCUCCCCUGCUAAUAUUAAAUACGAUUCUUAAGAUAAAUAUUUUAAAAAAAUAAUAAUUUUAUCGUAAAAUUUUUUGACUGAAUAAUAAUAUAACUUUUACUUUUCUACUAGAUAAACUAUUGUUAACUCUUUUUCUAUACAUGCCUUGGUUGCACUUUAUCAAAACACAUUUUUCGAAAUUUUUAUGACUUAAAAUUCAAAUUAAUCAUCUACCAACACAUAGACGAAUCGUAACUUGACCUAUAAUAACUUUUAAAGUUUAUUAAAAUAAACUAUAUUUAUCAUCAAGUGGUGGGAAGCUGACUAUAGUUAUUCGAAAUACUAUUCUAAUGAUUUAUCAUCUUUAAUAAAAUAUACUUUCAUUUUAAAAUUUUAAAAUAUUUAAUCAAUCAUAUUGAAUCAAACUAUUUAUUACUUUAAUAGAUGAAGAGUAAAAUUAUAAAUAUUUAAACCACGAUACUUAUUUGUUAAUACAUUUUAAAAACUAUCAUUUCGUUAUGUAUAGUAUAGACAUAUAUCCAUGGCAUAUGUUGAAGCAUGCAAGAGGGUUUAGGACAUCUUGGCUGGAAAACUUUAGACAUAAUUGGAUAAUUCUUUUAAAAUAAUCAGAAAUUAUAAAUUUUUAAAUUCAUAAAAGUAACUUUUAUUUAUCUCUUAGGUCUCGAAGUCAAGUAUUGUAAAUUAGAAGACGUGAUUCGCUAGAAAGUUUGUAAUAAAAUAAUGGAUUUCACGUUUUUUCUAUUAUUUAUUCUUUUGCACUUGCAGACACUAGGGGAAACAAGGAUUGAUCUCAAAAAAAAAUCCAAGACUACUCAAGAUAUGGAACAACUCAAUGCAGAUCCCUCGUUUCAGUAAUCUGAUCAGAUUGACUGUGACUGACUGCGAGUUUUUAUCAGAUGCAGUGCUACCCUUCUAUUUCCUUUCUUCAUUACCCAAAUUGGAAACAUUGCAAGUUCGAAACUGUGGUUCUGUUAAAACCAUAUUUGAUGUCAACCCUACAACAGAAGAAGACAGAUUAAUUGUUUUUUCUCUGAAGAAAUUGGUUUUAUCGGAGCUGCCAAGGCUGGAAACUAUUUGGAAUAAAGAUCCUCGUGGAAUUCUAAGCAUGCGCCACUUAGAACAAGUGUUAGUUUAUAGCUGUAAACGCCUUAAAAGCGUGUUUCCGGCAUCAGUAGCCAAAGAUUUAGAGACACUUGAAACCUUUGAAGUCAUUAGAUGUAAGAGUUUAAAAAACUUGGUAGCGUGCACAGUGUCUUUCUCCAAUCUGACAUGUUUGAAAGUAAAAGGUUGUGAUGCCUUAUCAUAUUUGUUGACAUCCUCAGCAGCCAAGCGCUUGAGUCAACUCAAAAGAAUGGAGAUAAAGGAUUGUGAUUCAAUUGAAGAGAUAGUGUGUAAGGAAGAUGGGAAGGAAUCAGAUGAGGAUGAGAUAAUAUUUCCGCAGCUCACUUGUUUGGAUCUUUAUCUGCUACUGAAUCUCAAAAGGUUCUACAGAGGAAGUUUAGGUUUCCCAUGCUUGGAGGAACUGUCAGUAACAGAAUGCGAUCAAAUGAUAACUUUAUGUCAUGGAAGUAUAGAAGCAGCCAAGUUGUCUCAUGUUAAACUUGAUCAGGACUCAGAUGCUAUUCCAUUGGAAACUGAUCUCAACUCUACUAUGAGGAAGAAAUAUCUUACAAAGGUACGUGUUUAAUUUUAGGACACGUGUCAUCAUUUUAUUGGUCUAUUUGAAUUUAUGUUUAAAAAAUAUUUAAAACAAACCAAUCACAAGCUACCACGUAUGCAUUGUCAAAAAGUUGUUAAAAAAGUGUUGUUAAAAAAAGUUUUUCCUUAAUUUUAUUGUUUUUCAUUGAAUAUUUAUGAUACAUAUCUAAGUAUAUGAUGGAAAUUGUGUAUUGUAUUGGCUAGCAAGGAACUUUUUAAUCUUGGUACCUUAAUAUUCAUAUUUUAAGGCUCAAACUUAUUAGUAAGGAAGACAUAAAUAAAAUAACAUAUGUUUUCAAGUUAAAAAUUUUGCGGAAAAGUUUUAUUAAAUCAUUUUUAAUUAUAGGAAACUUAUUUAUUUAUCUCAAGUUAUUUUAAACACACUUGUUUUUUCUUUAAAUUUAAAGUAAGCAAGAUAUAUUGUACCUUACAAAUUUCCAUUUUUUUUAUAAAAUGCAACAAAAAUACAUUCAAAAAGCAAAUAAUUUAUAUGUUAACAAAAUUUAAAUUCUCUAUCAUUAAAUUAUAAUCAUUUUCAUAAUAAAUUACUUUAAAAAUCUUAUUUGACAAAAAUUAUGAUAAACUGAUGGUUUGAAACAUUGUUCCAAUAACCAUACAAAUUAAAUUAAAUUUAACUUAAUUAACGUACUCAUAGUAAAUCGUAAAUUUAUUAAUUAAAAUAACUUAUAAAUAUAAAGAAAUAGAACAGAAUCAAAUAUUUUUUAUAUGCCAUUUUAACAUUAAUUUAGUAUCUUUACUGAUAAUAUAUGUUUUUAAUUAAUUUUAAAUUUUUAUAACUUUUAUUUAUUAAUAAAUUGUUAUCAUUAUAUUUAUUUUAUUUUUCAUUGCUAUAUAUUUAUCAUAAAGAAUAUUUAUUAUUAAUCUUCUACUAUGUUUUAUUAUAUUUAUACAAAUUUACGAUAAUGUAAAAAUAACACAUUUUUAAACAGAUAUAUGAUAAUUAAAGUAAAUUAAAAAUAGAUAUAAAAUUAAUCAUCUGUAAUGCAUAAAUAAAUAAAAAUGAUAAAAAUUAAAUAAAUCUACUAUAAUCAAUAUUAUUGGAUUUUAAGUAUAACCUACAAAUUAUAAAAUGAAAAUUAUGAAGAAUAUAAAAAUAUAAUAAUAGUAAUAAUAAUAAUAAUAAUAAUAAUAAUAAUAAUAAUAAUAAUAGAAAAAAUAAUUUGUUAUCAUUGUCAUUAUCUUAUUUAGAAAUAUAUUAGAAACGUUAAUUUUUUGUUACUGUAAAAAAAAUAAAAAUAAUAAAUACUUUAUAUAAAAAUAAAAAGAAAACUUAAUAAUUGUUUUAAAAGAUAAAUAGAUAUAAAUAUAAAAGGUUAAAAACUAAAAUAAAAAAUGUCACUUCUAAUAACAUUUAAAAGUUCUACAAUUAAGUUGCUAAAUUUGUUUUUCUGGAUAUUAGUAAUAGAUUUAGAAAACAUUAGAAAAUAGUUUAAAAGUAAAAUCAAAGUAAAAUUAAGUGAAGAUGUAAUUUGCAUCCUUAUAUUUGAAUUUACUCUCAUUCAUCAAGCUUUUACUAUUAUGAAAGUUGAAUUUUUAAAUUAAUAUUUUUUUAUAUAUUCCUAAACUUCAUAAAAACAAAUUAGAAAAAUUAACAAAAUAAUAAUUUGAAAAGCUAUAGAACUCAAUCAAAUCAAUGACAAAGUUAAUUAAAAAAUAGUUAGAGAUUUUGUUUAUAAUUAACUUCUAUAUUUAAAUUGCCAAAGGAAAUUAUAUUUUUUUUAAUCAAAGGAUGAGCGUAGAAACUAUUUUCAUUUUUAUGAGAAUUAAAUAGAACUUUAAAUGUACCUAAUAUUUUAGCAAUUCCCAAUGUCCCGAAAUAGAAUUGUGGAGGUAAAAUGUAGUAUGAAAAGAAAAAGUAUUAAAAUUGAUGCAUGUAUUUGUGAGUAAUUAGUUAUAAGUAAUGUUGGUUAUUUGUAUAGGAAAACUGUAAAGUCUGAAUUCUUGGUAAUUCUUAUACAAGAUUAAUUUAAUUUUUUUUUUUUUUUUCAUUUACAUGUGCUGAUUUCGAAAGAUUGUAUCAUCGGAAUCGAAAGAGAGUCUUGAAUUUAAAGAUAGGGCAGACCUACAAGAGAUAUGGUGUCUCUCACUGCAGAUACCCCACUUUUCUUUCACUUACUUGAAAACCUUGAUUGUGAAUAAAUGCAAAAUUUCAUCAGAUGAUGCAGUGCUACCUUUCACUUUACUUUCUUUGUUACCCAAAUUGGAAACAUUGGAAGUUCAAAACUGUGAUUCUGUCAAAACCAUAUUUGAUGUUAAAUGUACAACACAAACCUCAACCACUUUUCCUCUCAAGAAUUUAGUUUUACGGAAGCUGCCAAAUCUGGAAACAGUUUGUAAUGAAGUUACAGAGGCUAAUCCAGCUCUUUCAUCAGAAGGAACAAAUUCUAAUCUUACAUUCUCCUGUUUGACGUCAUUGACACUCUUGGAUUUGCCCAACUUCAAUGCAGCACCAACAUUUCAGGUUUGCGCUUCUUCUUUUUUCAAUAACAUAUACAUUCUCACACAUAUGCUUUUAUCAAAUAUAUAUAAUGCCUUAAAAAGUGCGUAAAUCUUGAUAAAUAAUCUCCUACCGACCUUCGAAAUAUUUUUCAUUAUUUUCUUCCUAUAGGAACCACUAUUCAUCUCUUUUAUCAAACUUUUCAUCUGAAAAUUAAUUUUAAAUCAAAAUGGUUGCUGCCUUAUGAGCAGCUACCUGGUCUCCCUAGUAAAUCCUUUUUUGUCUUUUAAAUGGUCUUGUUCACAUCUUUUAUUUUUAUUUAAUCUUGAAAUGUCAGUUUUUCACUAAUUAUCGGGAUUAUUUUGGUAUAAAAGUUCACCAUUUCAAUUUUAUACAGAGAGUUGAAUCUAUGACUUUGCUAACUGCUUUCACUUCGUUAUUGGUUCCUCUUUGUAGCUAAUUACACCGAACUUAGAAAAUCUGAAAGUGGGUGAAAAUGAAUUGAAGAUGGUUGUCGAUGGGAAAAUUCAGAGAAACCUUUUACACAAGUUAAAAGUCCUGGCUCUGUGCUUUGAUAAAAAGUUUGCUGAAUUUUCAGAGUAUGGAUUUCUACAACAGUUGCCAAAUGUGAUUAAGCUUGUGGUGUGUGACAGUUCCUUCAAAGUGAUUUUCUGCGAUGAAAGACCUAAUAAUAGUGAAAUUCUUUUACAAUUGAAAGAAUUACGCUUGGAGUCCCUUCAAGAGUUGGUUUCCAUUGGCUUAGAAAACUCAUGGACUGAACCCUUUGUCAGAAAUCUAGAAACCUUUGAAAUCAUUGAGUGUUCGAAUUUAAAAAACAUAGUAACAUGCAGAGUGUCUUUCUCGAAUCUGAUAUGUUUAAAAGUUGAAAAUUGCAAUAGCUUGUCAUAUUUGUUCACAUCUUCAACAGCAAAAAGUUUGGAUAAACUUCGAAGAAUGGAGAUAGAAAAGUGUGAAUCAAUGGAAGAAAUAAUAGCAAAG
rnacentral:lncRNA from 1 species